rnacentral:lncRNA from 1 species
GUCAUCUUGCCUGAGAUCCCGCAAGGAAGAAGAACGAGUCCAUGAAGAAGACAAAUGGACGUAGUCAAACGGAUCCUCACAAACGCGACGUUAUCGGAACCAACCCGAAGAAGCAACACCGGAAAGAAGCAAAACACAUAGUAAACAACCACCACAUAAACAUGGCAUGAUGCACAACCAAGUAUGAUGCAUGUCCAGUUUAAUGAGGCAUGGCAUGGCAAAGUGCACAAGCAACCCUACAAAUUAAGUGGAGCUCAAUAUGCAACGAGUUGCAUAUUGAUGAAACACCACAACAAGUUAUUUAGUUCGAUCUCAGUUAUGUACCCAACAAUAUUAAAUGUUGUUUAGCAUGGCAAGGGGUGAUGCAAAGUAAAACUACCUAUCUAGGCAAGUUUAAAUGAGGCCGGAACAACAAACAACAAUUCCAGAAAAUCCUCAUGUGCAUAUUAAUGGAUUUGGUACUGUUCUGCCCUAAACACAAUUUUAAAGUUGAUAAACAUGCAAAGUAAAGCCACCAUGUUAAACUAGGCAUUUUCCCACCCCAUUUACAUAUAAAGUUUAUUAAAUUCCGAGUUACAGUUAUAAUAAAGCAUUUUAACAUGGCAUAUGAGCAAAUUAAUGCAAACAGCAGUUUAAACAUUUUAAACGUGGUUGAAAGUUGGAUAUUAUGAAACUAGACAAAAUUCUAAGCACUUUACAUAUUAAGUUUGUCUUAAUCCGAUGCACGGUUGUGGAGUAAUUAAAUGCAUGAAGUUUAGGGGCUAUACUGCAAAACUACAAUCACUGGAUUAAAUAGAAAAUUCGUCUUGGCAAGGAAAUAACAUAACGGGCCGAAUCUGAGUUGAACUGGGCUGGAACAGGAGCAAGUGCAACAUAUUAGCGUGCGCUCACGAGCGUCGGAUGGCGCAGAAGCAAAUGGGCCACGGCCCGACAGUAGGGGAGCUCACCAGAGGACAGAUGGGCUGGAGAGAUUGAUCCAGAGUAUCAAAUCGCCCCCAGGUACAAUCGAUGCAGGGUCAACGCAGGGGCUUGAGCGCUCAGGGCAGGCGGGCGAGCGAGGUAGGAGAGGUCAACGCGAGCGACGACCUAGCGCAGGGCGAAGCAAAAAGAGGACCCCGCGGUUCAAGCGAAGCAGAGGCAGCGGCGGCGGGGUGCUCUCCGGCGAGGGUAGCCAAGACAGCGGCGGCGGCCAUGGGAGCUCAUGUUCGUCCUGUACUGAGAGGCAGAGGACUAAGAGAGAUAAGGAGAAGGCAGGAGAGAAAGAGGAGAGGGGAAGGAUGGGCAGAGGCACGGCGACCUGUGGUUCUCCGGCGUCGUGCUCGCCAGCGUGGCGGUGAGGCAGCAGAUCGAGCGGAGGCGGAGCUCUGCUCGGGCCAGAGGAAAGGGACGGCAUGAAGCAGUUAUUUGAAGCAGGGAACGAGCGGCGCUGGCGGGACUUGGGAACGAGCUUGCUCCGGCGAGGGUACAGAGGUCCAUGGUGCUCGAGAGGAGUCAUGCUGGCUCCGGCGAGCUGUUGGUCACCGGCGACGGUCGCGGUCACGGACGAGGGGGUAGGCGCUGGUUGGAGGGAGUGGAGGACGAACGGGAGGCACGGGAGCCUGGCUCCAUGGAAGUGCUCGAGAAGGAGGGGAUCCGGAUGCGGUUCUUGCCGAUCCAAAGCGAGGGAGGCUGCGGCUUGCUCUGCUGCGGGGAUGGGCGGCUGGAUGGAUCUCUGAGGGGCCGGGGUUCGCUCGAUGGAAGGAUUCGAGAUGGCAGGAGAGUGGAUCGGGAGGGAUCCCGAGGAAGAAUAGGGGUGGUUGACUGGCCGCGGCGGGGAUUGGAGAGGGGGUGGAUCCCUAGAAAUUAGGUUUUGGUCUGAUUUGGGAAGAGGUGGUCUAUUUAUAGGGACAAAAGGAGUAGGUUUGGACCCUACGAUCGAAAUUGGACGGUCGAGAAUAAAUGGGUUAGGAAAUCCAAAUGAGAAAACGGUGAUGUUUUGUAGACGUUUGGGGAUGAUCCGAACCCAACGGUGACGACUGCCUGGGUCAAGUUCGGGACAACUUUUUCGGACGCGCGCGAGGGGCCAAUGCACUAUGCAAAGAGGGGUAGGCAUGGGCCUAGGUGGACUGUGGAGAGCAGGUUGGUCUGAGAGAAGAGGGGAGAGAAGCAGCCCAGCACUGUUUUCGGAGACCGAAAACGUCCGACGAAAAGACCGGCUAUACUGCCGCAAUAGUUAAACGGUUGGGCUAUCCAACGGACUCCAAACGCGAUGAAAUUUGACAGGAGGUCCUCCUACACUAAAUAAGACCGCACGCCAACUUUCAUCCCAAUCCGGGAACAUUUUCCGGCCACUUAAAAAAAUACUAUUUUGGACGUGCCGCGGGCGCGUGCAAGUGUGUCUGGGCUCGGAACGGACAACGGACGGAACUGGAGGAACCUGGACGGAUGCAAGUUUUGAAAACAUGAUAAUGCAAUGCGGAUGAUGACAUGGCAAGAUGCAACACGCAAGCAAAUGACAAGGCAACAACAGCGAAUAACUGGAUGACACCUGGGGCAACGGUCUCGGGGCGUCACAUAAAUGUAUAAUCGUAUUGCAAUAAACAGGAUCCAAUCAUAUUAUGCUCAACGAAAAUACCAAAUAGCAUUUAUUUUAGGUUCAACACUAAUCCCCAAGGUAAAGGGAGUGUGCGAUGAUGAUCUUAUCAACCUUGGAAUUACUUCCAACACACAUUGUCACCUCACCCUCAACCAGUCUUUGUCUAUUUUUUAACUCCCAUUUCGAGUUACUACUCUUAGCAACUGAACCAGUAUCAAAUACUGAGCGGUCGCUAUAAACACUAGUAAAGUACACAUCAAUAACAUACAUAUCAAAUAUACUUUUGUUCACUUUGCCAUCCUUCUUAUCCGCCAAAUAUCUAGGGCAGUUCCACUUCUAGUGACCAUUUCCUUUGCAGUAGAAGCACUCAGGUCCAGGCUUGGGUCUAGCUUUGGGCUUCUUCAUGGGAGUGACAACUUGCUUGCCAUUCUUCUUUAAGUUCCCUUUCUUUCCCUUGCCCUUUUACUUGAAACUAGUGGUCUUGUCAACCAUCAACAUUUGAUUCUUUUCUUGAUUUCUACCUUCGUCGAUUUCAGCAUCACGAAGAGCUCGGAAAUCGUUUUCGUCGUCCCUUGCAUAUUAUAGUUCAUCACGAAGUUCCAGUAACUUGGUGAUAGUGACUAGAGAACUCUGUCAAUUACCAUCUUAUCUAGAAGAUUAACUCCCACUUGAUUCAAGCAAUUGUAGUAUCCAGACAAUCUGGGCACAUGCUCACUGGUUGAGCUAUUCUCCUCCAUCUUGUAGGCAAAGUAUUGUCCGAGGUCUCAUACCUCUCGACACGGGCAUGAGUAUGAAAUACCAAUUUCAACUCUUGGAACAUCUCAUAUGCUCCAUGUCGUUCAAAACAUUUUGAAGUCCCGGUUCUAAGCCGUAAAGCAGGGUGCACUAAACUAUCAAGUAGUCAUCCUACUGAGCUUGGCAAACAUUCAUAAUGUCUGCAUCUGCUCCUACAAUCGGUCUGUCACCUAGCGGUGCAUCAAGGACAUAAUUCUUCUAUGCAGCAAUGAGGAUAAUCCUCAGAUCACAGACCCAAUCCGCAUCAUUGCUACUAUCAUCUUCCAACAUAGUUUUCUUUAGGAACAUAUCAUAAAUAAAACGGGGAAGCUAUACGCGAGCAAUUGAUCUACAACAUAGAUAUGCAAAUACUAUCAGGACUAAGUCCAUGAUAAAUUUAAGUUCAAUUAAUCAUAUUACUUAAGAACUCUCACUUAGAUAGACAUCUCUCUAAUCUUCUAAGUGAUUGUGUGAUCCAUAUCAACUAAACCAUGUCCAAUCAUCACGUGAGAUGGAGUAGUUUUCAAUGGUGAACAUCACUAUGUUGAUCAUAUCUACUAUAUGAUUCACGCUCGACCUUUCUGUCUCCCGUGUUUCGAGGCCAUAUCUGCAUAUGCUAGGCUCGUCAAGUUUAACCCGAGUAUUCUGCGUGUGCAAAACUGGCUUGCACCCGUUGUAUGUGAACGUAGAGCUUAUCAUACCCGAUCAUCAUGUGGUGUCUUGGCACGACGAACUGUCACAACGGUGCAUACUUAGGGAAAACACUUAUACUUUGAAAUUUAGUGAGAGAUCAUCUUAUAAUGCUACCGCCGAACUAAGACAAAUAAGAUGCAUAUAGGAUAAACAUCACACAAAAUCAAAAUAUGUGACAUGAUAUGGCCAUGAUCAUCUUCCACCUUUGAUCUCCAUCUCCAAAGUACCGUCAUGAUCUCUAUCGUCACCGGCAUGACACCAUGAUCUCCAUCAUCUUGAUCUCUAUCAACGUGUCAUCACAUGGUUGUCUCGCCAACUAUUGCUCUUGCAACUAUUGCUAUCGCAUAGCGAUAAAGUAAAGCAAUUAUUUGGCGCUUGCAUCUUAUGCAAUAAAGAGACAACCAUAAGGCUCCUGCCAGUUGCCGAUAACUUUAACAAAACAUGAUCAUCUCAUACAACAAUUUAUAUCUCAUCACAUCUUGACCAUAUCACAUCACAACAUGCCCUGCAAAAACAAGUUAGACGUCCUCUACUUUGUUGUUGCAAGUUUUACGUGGCUGCUACGGGCUGAGCAAGAACCGUUCUUACCUACGCAUCAAAAACCACAACGCGGUAUAGUGAUUGCUUUUUGAUCUUCAGAAAGAACCCUGUUCAUUGAAUCCGAUUCAACUAAAGCUGGAGAAACAGACACCCACUAGCCACCUGUGUGCGAAGCACGUUGGUAGAACCAGUCUCACAUAAGCAUACGCGUAAUGUUGGUAUGGGCCGCUUCAUCCAACAAUGCCGCUGAAUCAAGAAUCAACUAGUGACGGCAAGCAAUAUGUAUAUACCCACGCCCACAACUCCUUUGUGUUCUACUCAUGCAUAUAACAUUUACGCAUAAAUCUGGCUCAGAUGCCACUGUUGGGGAACGCAGUAAUUUCAAAAAAAUUCUAACGCACACGCAAGAUCAUGGUGAUGCAUAGCAACGAGAGGGGAGAGCUUCGUCCACGUACCCUCGUAGACCGUAAGCGGAAACAUUAUGAGAACACGGUAGAUGUAGUCGUACAUCUUCACGAUCCGACCGAUCCAAGUACCGAACAUACGGCACCUCCGAGUUCAGCACACAUUCAGCUCGGUGAUGUCCCACGAACUCCGAUCCAACAGAGCUUGGAGGAAGAGCUUCGUCAGCACGACAGCGUGAUGACGGUGAUGAUGAUGCUACCGACGCAGGGCUUCGCCUAAGCACCGCUAUGAUAUGACUGAGGUGGAUUAUGGUGGAGGGGGGCACCGCACAUAGCUAAAAGAUCAACUAUCAACUUGUGUGUCCAUGGGGUUCCCCCCUCCCCCGUAUAUAAAGGAGUGGAUGAGGGGGAGGGCCGGCCCUCUACUAUGGUGUGCCCUGGGGAGUCCUACUCCCACCGGGAGUAGGAUCCCCCCCUUCCAUGUAGUAGGAGUAGGAGAGAAGGAAAGGGAAAAGAGAAGAGAAGGAAGGAGGGGGCGCCGCCCCUCCCCCUAGUCAAAUUCGUACUAGGCCUUGGGGGCGCAGCCUCCCCUCUCUCUUUCCCCUAAAGCCCAAUAAGGCCCAUAUACUCCCCAGCGAAUUCCCGUAACUCUCCGAUACUCCGAUAAAUACCCGAACCACACAGAACCUUUCCGAUGUCCGAAUAUAGCCUUCCAAUAUAUCGAUAUUUACGUCUCGAACAUUUCAAGACUCCUCGUCAUGUCCCUGGUCUCAUCUGGGACUCUGAACAACCUUCGGUCCAACAAAACACAUAAACUCAUAAUACCGAUAGUCACCGAACGUUAAGCGGGCGGACCCUACGGGUUCAAGAACUAUGUAGACAUGGCCGAGACUCAUCUCCGGUCAAUAACCAAUAGCGAAACCUGGAUGCUCAUAUUGGUUCCUACAUUUGUACGAAGAUCUUUAUCGGUCAAACCGCAUAACAACAUAUGUUGUUCCUUUUGUCAUCGGUAUGUUACUUGCCUGAUAUUCGAUCGUCGGUAUCUCAAUACCUAGUUCAAUCUCGUUACCGGCAAGUCUCUUUACUCAUUCUGUAAUGCAUCAUCCCGCAACUAACUCAUUAGUCACAAUGCUUGCAAGGCUUAUAGUGAUGUGCAUUACUGAUAGGGCCCAGAGACACCUCUCCGAUACUCGGAGUGACAAAUCCUAAUCUCGAUCUAUGCCAACUCAACAAACACCAUUGGAGACACCUGUAGAGCACCUUUAUGAUCACCCAGUUAUGUUGUGAUGUUUGGUAGCACACAAAGUGUUCCUCCGGUAUUCGGGAGUUGCAUAAUCUCAUAGUCAUAGGAACAUGUAUAAGUCAUGAAGAAAGCAAUAGCAACAAACUAAAUGAUCAUCGUGCUAAGCUAAUGGAUGGGUCAAGUCAAUCACAUCAUUCUCUAAUGAUGUUAUCCCGUUAAUCAAAUGACAACUCAUGUCUAUGGCUAGGAAACUUAACCAUCUUUGAUUCAACGAGCUAGUCAAGUAGAGGCAUACUAGUGACAAUCUGUUUAUCUAUGUAUUCACACAUGUACUAAGUUUCCGGUUAAUACAAUUGUAGCAUGAAAAAUAAACAUUUAUCAUGAUAUAAGGAAAUAUAAAUAACAACUUUAUUAUUGCCUCUAGGGCAUAUUUCCUUCACUUCGUUCAUAACGAUCAUCUCUACUCAUUCUCUCUCUUGGAGGUGAUUCAUCUCUUCUACUUCUCCUUUUUGGUGAGUCUUCUCUUUUCUUGUAGGGAGCAGUACACUCAUUGGAGUAGUGUCCGGGUCUUCCACAAUUGUAGCAAUUACGACCACGACUAGAAGAUCUUUUGCCAUUGCAGGACCUUGACUUGGAGUUUCUUCCUUUGCUUCUAUUCUUGUAGAAUUUGUUGAAGUUCUUCACCAUUAAGCUCAAUUCUUCAUUGGAGACUUGCUUCUCACUUGACGUUGUAGGGGCAUCACUUGAGGCUUUGUAAUCACCACUUGACUUAUUGUGAAGCUCUUCCUUAUCCAUGAGUGACAUCUCAUGAGCAAAAAUUCUACCAGUGACUUUUGUGGGCUUGAGAUCUUUGUAAUUGGGCAUCAUUUGGAUCAAGGUGCACACGGUAUCAUAUUUUCCAUCCAAAGCUCUAAGGAUCUUUUUGAUGAUGAAUUUGUCGGUCAUCUCUUCACUUCCUAAGCCGACAAUCUCAUUUGUGAUGAGAGAAAACCUAGAGUACAUUUCCGCGACCCCUUCACCAUCCUUCAUAUUAAACUCAUCAAGUUGACUUUGAAGCACAUCCAACUUGGAUUCCUUGAUGGACUCGGUACCUUCGUGCAUAUCAACCAAAGUAUCCCAAACUUCCUUUGCAUUCUCAAGGCGGCUGAUUUUGUUGAGUUCUUCGGGGCACAAUCCAUUGAAGAGAAUAUCGCAAGCUUGAGCAUUGUAUUGCAACAUCUUCAUAUCUUGCACCUUCGCUUCAUGAUCUGGUUCUUUACCAUCCUCGAAGAAAUCACCUUGCAAGCUGAUACGUCUCCAACGUAUCUAUAAUUUUUGAUUACUCCAUGCUAUAUUAUUUAUUGUUUUGGGCAAUAAUGGGCUUUAUUUUCCACUUUUAUAUUAUUUUUGGGACUAACCUAUUAACCGGAGGCCCAGCCCAGAUUUGCUGUUUUGUGCGUAUUUUAGUGUUUCAAAGAAAAGGAAUAUCAAACGGAGUCGAAACGGAACGAAAUCAACUGAAGAAGUUAUUUUUGGAAGGAAACCUACCGGAUAGACUUGGGCCCUACAUCAGAAGAUGAAGGAAGAGCUCACGAGGGUAGGGGCGCGCCCACCCCCCUGGGGCGUGCCUCCCUGCCUCCUGGCCACCCCUUCGGUCCACCGACGUACUCCUUUCACCCAUAUAUACCCACGUAUACUAAAACUUCCAGAAUAGAGAUUAGAUCGGGAGUUCCGCCACCAGAAGCCUCUGUAGCCACCGAAAUCCAAUCUAGACCCGUUCCGGCACCCUGCCGGAGGGGGCAAUCCUUCUCUGGUGGCCAUCUUCAUCAUCCCGGUGCUCUCCAUGACGAGGAGGGAGUAGUUCUCCCUCGGGGCUGAGGGUAUGUACCAGUAGCUAUGUGUUUGAUCUCUCUCUCUCAUGUUCUUGAUUUGGCACGAUCUUGAUGUAUUGCGAGUUUUGCUAUUAUAGUUGGAUCUUAUGUUCCUCCUCCCCCUCUUCUCUCUUGUAAUGAAUUGAGUUUCCCCUUUGAAGUAAUCUUAUCGGAUUGAGUCUUUAAAGAUUUGAGAACACUUGAUGUAUCUCUUGCCGUGCGUAUCUGUGGUGACAAUGGGAUACCACGUGAUUCACUUGAUGUAUGUUUUGGUGAUCAACUUGUGGGUUCCACCCAUGAACCUAUGCAUAGGGGUUGGCACACGUUUUCGUCGUGAUUCUCCGGUAGGAACUUUGGGGAACUCUUUGAGGUCCUUUGUGUUGGUUGAAUAGAUGAAUCCGAGAUUGUGUGAUGCAUAUCGUAUAAUCAUACCCACGGAUACUUGAGGUGACAUUGGAGUAUCUAGGUGACAUUAGGGUUUUGGUUGAUUUGUGUCUUAAGGUGUUACUCUAGUACGAACUCUAGGGCUGUUUGUGACACUUAUAGGAAUAGCCCAACGGAUUGAUUGGAAAGAAUAACUUUGAGGUGGUUUCGUACCCUACCAUAAUCUCUUUGUUCGUUCUCCGCUAUUAGCGACUUUGGAGUGACUCUUUGUUGUAUGUUGAGGGAUAGUUAUGUGAUCCAAUUAUGUUAUUAUUGUUGAGAGGACUUACACUAGUGAAAGUAUGAACCCUAGGCCUUGUUUCCUAGCAUUGCAAUACCAUUUACGCUCACUUUUAUCACUUGUUACCUUGCUGUUUUUAUAAUUUCAUAUUACAAAUACCUUUAUCUACUAUCCAUAUACCAGUUGUAUCACCAUCUCUUCACCGAACUAGUGCACCUAUACAAUUUACCAUUGUAUUGCGUGUGUUGGGGACACAAGAGACUCUUUGUUAUUUGGUUGCAGGGUUGCUUUAGAGAGACCAUAUUCAUCCUACGCCUCCUACGGAUUGAUAAACCUUAGGUCAUCCACUUGAGGGAAAUUUGCUACUGUCCUACAAACCUCUGCACUUGGAGGCCCAACAACGUCUACAAGAAGAAGGUUGUGUAGUAGUUAUCAAGCUCUUUUCUGGCGCCAUUGCCGGGGAGGUGAGUGUUUGAAGGUAUAUCUUUAGAUCUUGCAAUCGAGUCUUUAAGUUUCUUGUUUUAUCACUAGUUUAGUUUAUAAAAGAAAACUACAAAAAAUGGAAUUGAGUUUGUCUCAUACGCUUCAUCUUUUUAAUAUCUUUCGUGAGUAUGAUGGAAAGGAUAAUUGUGCUCAAGUGCUAGAAGAAGAGAUGUCUAAAAUGUUUGGCACUAAAUAUUUGAAUGAUGAGCAUGAUUGCAAUGUUGUUAGUAUGAAUUCUUUGAAUAUCCAUGAUGCUAAUGAUGAUUGCACUAGUUAUGAUGAAAAUGCCUCCUAUAAACAUGUCAAUUUUUGUGGAGUAGACUGGGUUUGCAAGUACACACCAAAUAGGGAAGAUAGAUAUUGCAAGAGGCAUAAGUACUUAGAAACCAAAUUGUUGCAGAAGAGCUAGAUGAAUGUGCUGAAAAUUUAUCUUUUCUUAGCCCUACUUGUGAACUUUGCAAUGAACGUGAUCAUCUUAGUACCCAAUGCAAAUUGUUUGAUGAGCGUAUCGUGUCCAAAAAUUGUGAUGACUUGAUUUCCCUUGCACAUCAUAAUGAACUUAGUUUGCUCUUGGGUUAUGAAGAAAUUAAACAUAGAACUAAGGAUAUUCCAAAAUUUUCCCUUGAUAAAAUUCUUCAUUUUGAUCUAGAGGAAAUUUAUAUGUAUUGCGCGGUGAAUUGCAUUGAAAAUCCUUAUAUUGCCAAUUACAUAAAGAAAAGAAAACAAAUAGAAGAUGAAGAGAAUGCUAACGAAAGGGAAGAGACUUCCCAAUAUUCUCCUAUUAUUUCUUAUGAUGAAUCAGGUAACGAAGAGGAGCCCUCUAUUCAACCAAUCUCAUUAAUAAGGAGCUCCAAAAAGAGGAUUGAACCCACACAUGAUGUGGUGAAGAAGAAGAAAAGAAAAAGGAAGAGAGGUAAAAAGGUAUCUCUCCCAAAUAAAGUUGCUCCUAUUAUUGUUGUGCCUCAUGAAAAUGAUACACUUGAUGAUGAUCUCAUUAUGCCUAUUGCUUGUUGUGAUGAUUAUGAUUGGGAAGAUAAUGAAACUUCUUAUGAUCUUGAAAAUCUUUUUGGCACUUGCUUGGAAGAAUAUUAUAAUUGCUCUACUAUUGGUGCUAUCUAUACUACUAAUGAUGAGAGUGAUUAUGCUUAUGAUAUGAAAAGGCCCAAGCUUGGGGAAGCUAUGUUUGAUGAGGAUGACAUAUUUGAGAAUAUAUUUGCUGCAAUUAAUGUUUGUCCCAAGCUUGGGGAUGCUAUGUUUAAUAAUGAUGAUAUUUUUAGCCUCUCAAGUUUUGAUAUGCAAAGUUGUUAUGAUGAUAGCAUGCCUUCUACUUACGAUGAUUAUAUUGAUGAAAGUGGGUUUGGAAGAGUGUCAACUUUAGGAAGUAAUGAUCCCACUAUUUUGGAGUAUGUUGAAUCUUAUAAUAUUUAUGAAAAUGGAUUUGGAGAGGUCAUGACUUUAUUUAGUGAUGUAUCCACUAUCUUGGAAGAGGUUUCAAUUGAUUAUGAUGAGAACAAAGUUGCUACUUAUGAUGAUUAUUGUGAUAAAACUUAUGCUAUAAAGAGUAGUGAUGAUUAUAUUUAUAAAACUUGUCAUGAUUAUGAGUACCCUUUCUCUGAACAUUACUCCUUUAACGUGGAAACAAUUUAUAGUAUUCAAGUCUCUUAUGAUACUCCCACUAUUCCGAAUGAGAAGAAUUUUGCUUAUGUGGAGAGUAGUAAAUUUUCUAUGCAAGUAGAUCAUGAAAAUAAUUAUUUAGGUGCUGGUUAUAUUGUUGAAUUAAUUCAUUAUGCUACUGAAAAUUAUUAUGAGGGAGGAAUAUAUGCUUGUAGGAAUUGCAAUAAUAUCAAGUUUCCUCUCUAUGUGCUUAAAAUUUUGAAGUUAUGCUUGUUUUACCUUCCUAUGCAAGUUGAUUAUUGUUCCCACAAGUUGUUUGCUCAAAAAAUCCCUAUGCAUAGGAAGUAUGUUAGACUUAAAUGUGCUAGUCAUAUUCUUCAUGAUUCUCUCUUUAUGUUUCAAUUAUUAUCUUUUAUGUAAGCAUCGUUGAAAUCAUCAUGCCUAGCUAGGGGCGUUAAACGAUAGCGCUUGUUGGGAGGCAACCCAACUUUAUUUUUGUUCCUUGCUUUUUGUUCCUGUUUAGUAAUAAAUAAUUCAUAUAUCCACUGUUUAGAUGUGGUUUUAUGUGUUUAAUUAGUGUUUGUGCCAAGUAGAACCUUUGGGAAGACUUUGGGAAAGUCUUGCUGAUCAUGCUGUCAAAAACAGAAACUUUAGCGCUCACGAGAAUUGCUGCCAUUUUUAUUUGGAGAGUGAUAUUUAGUUAAUUCUUUUUUAAGAUGAUUAAUAUAUAAAUUCCUCAGGUCCAGAAAUUUAUUUUAGAAUUUUAUGAGUUCCAUAAGUAUACGUUUGAUCCAUAUUACUACAUACUGCUCUGUUUUUGACAGAUUCUGUUUUUCAUGUGUUGUUUACUUAUUUUGAUGAAUCUAUGGCUAGUAAAAUAGUUUAUAAACCAUAGAGAAGUUGGAAUACAGUAGGUUUAACACCAAUAUAAAUAAAGAAUGAGUUCAUUACAGUACCUUGAAGUGGUGAUUUAUUUUCUUGUACUAAUGGAGCUUACGAGUUUUCUGUGAAGUUUUGUGUUGUGAAGUUUUCAAGUUUUGGGUAAGGAUUCGAUGGACUAUGGAAUAAGGAGAGGCAAGAGCCUAAGAUUGGGGAUGCCCAAGGCACCCCAAGGUAAUAUUCAAGUAUAGCCAAGAUCCUAAGCUUGGUGAUGCCCCGGAAGGCAUCCCCUCUUUCGUCUUCGUUCAUCGGUAACUUUACUUGGAGCUAUAUUUUUAUUCGCCACAUGAUAUGUGUUUUGCUUGGAGCAUCAAUUUAUUUUGUUAGGAUUUGCUUGCUGUUAUUUAGAACAAUGUUUUUCAUCUUUUAUUUCAAUAAAAGUGGCAUUGAUAGUCUUUACUAUGCCUAUUUUACAAGUCUACAUGUUGCUGUUUGAAAAUACAAAAGUUUACCGCUGUUGCAAUAAUUCCCUAGAAAAGUCAGAAUGUGAUAAAAUGUUGAAACCUUUUGCAUAUUAAGCUCUGAUAAAUUUACCACAGUGUGAAUUUUAUUUCAUAAUUUUUGGAGCUAGGGAAGUAUGGAUGUUUCAGCAUUCUUUGCAGACUAUCCUGUUUAGGCAGAUUGCUAUUAUGUUUGCAUCGUUUGCAUAUGGUUGCUCCUUUAAUGAUUCUAUUUGAGGAUAGGACUAUUAAAUAUGCAGAGUAAUUUAGUAUGAAAUGUUUAAUAAUAAUGUUAGUGAUUUUCUACAGUAGAGUAUGAUAAGGUUUUUGCAAUAUGUUAUGCUAACUUAUCUCACGAGUCCUUGUUGAGUUUUGUGUGGAUGAAGCUUUUGAGAUUUAGGGAGACCGUGAUAUGAGAGGAAUUAAGGAGACACAAAAGAUCAAGCUUGGGGAUGACCAAGACAUCCCAAGAUAAUAUUUCAAGAAGUCUGAAGCAUCUAACCUUGGGGAUGCCCCGGUUGGCAUCCCACCUUUCUUCUUCAACAAUUAUCGGUUAGUUUCGGUUGAUCCUAAGAUUUUGCUUCUUCACAUGAUGUUUGCCAUUCUUAGAAUGUCAUUUUAUUUUGCUUUGCUUGAUGUUUGAAUAGAAUACCAAGAUCUGAAAUUAUUAAAUGUUAGAGAGUCUUCACAUAGUUGCAUAAUUAUUCGACUACUCAUUGAUCUUCACUUAUAUCUUUCGGGGUAGUUUGCCGUUGCUCUAGUGCUUCACUUAUAUCUUUUAGAGCAUCGUUGUAGUUUUAUUUUGAAGAAAUAGAUGAACUCUCAUGCUUCACUUAGAUUAUUUUGAUAGUCUUAAUAGCAUGGUAAUUUUCUUAGAAUCCUAAUAUGCUAGGUAUUCAAGAAUAAUAAAAUUCUCUUAUGAGUGUGUUGAAUACUAUGAGAAGUUUGAUACUUGAUAAUUGUUUUGAGAUAUAGAGAUGGUGAUAUUAGAGUCAUGCUAGUUGAGUAGUUGUGAAUUUGAGAAAUGCUUGUGUUGAAGUUUGCAAGUCCCGUAGCAUGCACGUAUGGUAAACGUUGUGUAACAAAUUUGAAACAUGAGGUGUUAUUUGAUUGUCCUCCUUAUGAGUGGCGGUCGGGGACGAGCGAUGGUUUUUUCCUACCAAUCUAUCCCCCUAGGAGCAUGCACGCAGUACCGAGGUUUUUGAUGACUUGUGGAUUUUUGCAAUAAGUAUGUGAGCUCUUCAUGACUAAUGUUGAGUCCAUGGAUUAUACGCACUCUCACCCUUCCAUCAUUGCUAGCCUCUUCGGUACCAUGCAUUGCCCUUUCUCGCAUUGAGAGUUGGUGCAAAGCUGGUGCAUCCAAACCCCGUGUUAUUUGAUUGUCCUCCUUAUGAGUGGCGGUCGGGGACGAGCGAUGGUCUUUUCCUACCAAUCUAUCCCCCUAGGAGCAUGCACGUAAUACUUGGUUUUUGAUGACUUGUAGAUUUAUGCAAUGAGUAUGCGAGUUCUUUAUGACUAAUGUUGAGUCCAUGGAUUAUACGCACUCUCACCCUUCCAUCAUUACUAGCCUCUUCGGUACCGUGCAUUGCCCUUUCUCACCUUGAGAGUUGGUGCAAACUUCGCCGGUGCAUCCGAACCCCGUGAUAUGAUACGCUCUAUCACACAUAAACCUCCUUAUAUCUUCCUCAAAACAGCCACCACACCUACCUAUUAUGGCAUUUCCAUAGCCAUUCCGAGAUAUAUUGCCAUGCAACUUUCCACCAUUCCGUUUAUCAUGACACAUUCAUCAUUGUCAUAUUGCUUAGCAUGAUCAUGUAGUUGACAUAGUAUUUGUGGCAAAGCCACCGUUCAUAAUUCUUUCAUACUUGUCACUCUUGGUUCAUUGCAUAUCCCGGUACACCGCCGGAGGCAUUCAUAUAGAGUCAUCUUUGUUCUAGUAUCGAGUUGUAAUCAUUGAGUUGUAAAUAAAUAAAAGUGUGAUGAUCAUCAUUUUCUAGAGCAUUGUCACAAGUGAGGAAUAAAAAAAGAGAAAGGCCAUAAAAAAGAGAAGGCCCCAAAAAAGAGAAAGGCCAUAAAAAAGGAAAAGGCCCAAAUAAAAAAAUAAAAAAAAUAAAAAAAUGAGAGAAAAAGAGAGAAGGGACAAUGCUACUAUCCUUUGCCACACUUGUGCUUCAAAGUAGCACCAUAAUCUUCAUGAUAGAGAGUCUCUUGUUUUGUCACUUUCAUAUACUAGUGGGAAUUUUUCAUUAUAGAACUUGGCUUGUAUAUUCCAACAAUGGGCCUCCUCAAGUGCCCUAGGUCUUCGUGAGCAAGCAAGUUGGAUGCACACCCACUUAGUUUCUUUUGUUGAGCUUUCGUACAUUUAUAGCUCUAGUGCACCCGUUGCAUGGAAAUCCCUACUCCUUGCAUUAACAUCAAUCGAUGGGCAUCUCCAUAGCCCAUUUAUUAGCCUUGUUGAUGUGAGACUUUCUCCUUUUGUCUUCUCCACAUAACCCCCCUCAUUAUAUUCUAUUCCACCCAUAGUGCUAUAUCCAUGGCUCGCGCUCAUGUAUUACGUGAAAGUUUAUGAGUUUGAGAUUACUAAAGUAUGAAACAAUUGCUUGGCUUGUCAUCGGGGUUGUGCAUGAUGAGAGCAUUCUUGUGUGAUGAAAAUGAAACAUGACUAAACUAUAUGAUUUUGUAGGGAUAAACUUUCUUUGGCCAUGUUAUUUUGAGAAGACAUAAUUGCUUAGUUAGUAUGCUUGAAGUAUUAUCAUUUUUAUGUCAAUAUGAACUUUUGUCUUGAAUCUUUCGGAUCUGAAUAUUCAUACCACAAUUAAGAAGAAUUGCAUUGAAAUUAUGCCAACUAGCAUUCCACCUCAAUUUUUUUUAUCAUUUACCUACUCGAGGAUGAGCAGGAAUUAAGCUUGGGGAUGCUGAUACGUCUCCAACGUAUCUAUAAUUUUUUAUUGCUCCAUGCUAUAUUAUUUACUGUUUUGGGCAAUAUUGGGCUUUAUUUUCCACUUUUAUAUUAUUUUUGGGACUAACCUAUUAACCGGAGGCCCAUCCCAGAUUUGCUGUUUUAUGCAUAUUUCAGUGCUUCGAAGAAAAGGAAUAUCAAACAGAGUCGAAACGGAACGAAAUCAACUGGAGAAGUUAUUUUUGGAAGGAAACCUACAGGAUAGACUUGGACCCUACGUCAGAAGAUGAAGGAGGAACUCACGAGGGUAGGGGGCGCGCCCCCUGCCUCGUGGCCACCCCUUCGGUCCACCAACGUACUCCUUUCACCCAUAUAUACCCACGUAUCCUAAAACUUCCAGAACAGAGAUUAGAUCGGGAGUUCCACUGCCAGAAGCCUCCGUAGCCACCGAAAGCCAAUCUAGACUCGUUCCGGCACCCUGCCAGAGGGGGCAAUCCUUCUCCGGUGGCCAUCUUCAUCAUCCCGGUGCUCUCCAUGAAGAGGAGGGAGUAGUUCUCCCUCGGGGCUGAGGGUAUGUACCAGUAGCUAUGUGUUUGAUCUCUCUCUCUCUCUCUCGUGUUCUUGAUUUGGCACAAUCUUGAUGUAUCGUGAGCUUUGCUAUUAUAGUUGGAUCUUAUGUUUCUCCUCCCACUCUUCUCUCUUGUAAUGAAUUGAGUUUCCCCUUUGAAGUAAUCCUAUCGGAUUGAGUCUUUAAAGAUUUGAGAACACUUGAUGUAUGUCUUGCCGUGCGUAUCUGUGGUGACAAUGGGAUACCACGUGAUUCACUUGAUGUAUGUUUUGGUGAUCAACUUGCGGGUUCCGCCCAUGAACCUAUGCAUAGGGGUUGGCACACAUUUUCGUCCUGAUUCUCCGGUAGGAACUUUGGGGCACUCUUUGAGGUCCUUUGUGUUGGUUGAAUAGAUGAAUCUGAGAUUAUGUGAUGCAUGUCGUAUAGUCAUACCCACGGAUACUUGAGGUGACAUUGGAGUAUCUAGGUGACAUUAGGGUUUUGGUUGAUUUGUGUCUUAAGGUGUUAUUCUAGUACGAACUCUAGGGCUGUUUGUGACACUUAUAGGAAUAGCCUAACGGAUUGAUUGGAAAGAAUAACUUUGAGGUGGUUUCGUACCCUACCAUAAUCUUUUUGUUCGUUCUCCGCUAUUAGUGACUUUGGAGUGACUCUUUGUUGCAUGUUGAGGGAUAGUUAUGUGAUCCAAUUAUGUUAUUAUUGUUGAGAGGACUUACACUAGUGAAAGUAUGAACCCUAGGCCUUGUUUCCUAGCAUUGCAAUACCGUUUACGCUCACUUUUAUCACUUGUUACCUUGCUGUUUUUAUAAUUUCGGAUUACAAAUACCUUUAUCUACUAUCCAUAUACCACUUGUAUCACCAUCUCUUCGCCGAACUAGUGCACCUAUACAAUUUACCAUUGUAUUGGGUGUGUUGGGGAUACAAGAGACUCUUUGUUAUUUGGUUGCAGGGUUGCUUGAGAGAGACCAUCUUCAUCCUACGCCUCCUACGGAUUGAUAAACCUUAGGUCAUCCACUUGAGGGAAAUUUGCUACUGUCCUACAAACCUCUGCACUUGGAGGCCCAACAACAUCUACAAGAAGAAGGUUGUGUAGUAGACAUCACAAGCCAAUACGCACAACAAACCGAACGACGGGGUUAUGACCAAGAAUAUGCAUUUUCAUCUUAUGCUUCCAACUAGCAAAAAUUGUACCAUGAAAAUAAGGACCUCUACGGUGGUAAUUUCCCUCGCUAAACGCCAUACUCUCCUAGGUUGUGAAACCAAGGCUGUGAUCACCAAAGCUCUGAUACCACUUGUAGGAUCAAAAGCAUGUCCAGAGGGGGUGAUUAGACUACUUGACCAAAUAAAAAUCUAUCAUUUUCCCAAUUUUAGUUGUGGGCAGAUUUUAGCAAUUAGCACAAGUCAAGCAAUCAACCUACACAUGCAAUUCUAAGAGUAUAGCAGCGGAAAGUACAACAUUGCAUAUGAACGUAAAGGGAAGGGUUCGGAGAAGGCGAACGCAAUGGAGACACAUAGAUUUUUGGUGUGGUUCCGAAUUCCAAUAGGUGGUGCUAUCGUACGUCCACAUUGAUGGAGACUUCAACCCACGAAGGGUAAUAGUUGCAUGAGUCCACGGAGGGCUCCACCCACGAAGAAGCAACCUUGUAUAUGCCACCAUGGCCAUCGUCCAUGAAGGACUUGCCUCACUCAGGUAGAUCUUCAUGAAGUAGGCGAUCUCCUUGCCCUUAGAAACUUAUUGGUUCAACUCCACAUCACAAUUUAGGCUCCCAAGCGACACCUAACCAAUCUAGGAGACACCACUCUACAAAAGGUAAUAGAUGGUGUGUAGAUGAUGAACUCCUUGCUCUUGUGAUUCAAAUGAUAGUCUCCCCAACACUCAACUCUCCCUAUCAUUUUGUCUAUGGUGGAAGAGAGAUUUAAGUGGAAAGCAACUUGGGGAAGUCUAGAAUCAAGGUUCAAAAGGGUGGAUUGGAACCUCUUGAUCUCAACACAUGAGUUGGUGGCUCUUUCUCAGAAAAUGGAUGGUGGAAGUGUAGGCACGUUCUGAUGGCUCUCUCACAAAUGGAGAAGGGGUGGAAAACCGGCAGAUCUCGGGUAGGGGGUCCCGAACUGUGCGUCUAGGAUUGAUGGUAACAGGAGACGGGGGACACGAUGUUUACCCAGGUUCGGGCCCUCUCUAUGGAGGUAAUACCCUACUUCCUGCUUGAUUGAUCUUGAUGAAUAUGAUUAUUACAAGAGUUGAUCUACCAUGAGAUUGUAAUGGCUAAACCCUAGAAGUCUAGCCUAUGAAUAUGGUAAUGAGUAUAUGUCGUGUCCUUUCCGGACUAUCCCCUUCGGUUUAUAUAGACACCGAGGGGAUCUACGGUUUACAUGGAGUCGGUUACAUAAGAAGGAAUCUUCGGUCACCAAGCUUGCCUUCCACGCCAAGUAGAGUCCAAUCUGGACAUGAUGCAGUCUUCGGCCUUCAUGUCUUCACAGCCCAUCAGUUUGACCCAUGGAUAACAGGCCGGACGCGCGAGGACCCCUUAGUCCUGGACUCCCUUAGUAGCCCCUGAACAUGGCUUUCAAUGAUGAGGAGUCCGGCGUGCAGAUUGUCUUCGGAAUUGCAAGGCGGGUUCCCCUUUGUCUGAACUCCAAGAUAGUCUUCGGAUGCAAUGAUAGUAUCCUGAAUUGUUACGCACACCAUACACAACCGCAGAGAGAAUAUAAUAUUUGCACGAAUCUAAUCUGUUGACAGCUUUUUUCCAACACGACAUCAUGUUUGUCCGGUUAUAAUUUCGGACUGUUUUUCUUCUGCCAUUCCACGCUUCGAGACGCGGUUGCUAUCGGCACGUCUUGUUGAAACAGAGAUCGUGCCCCCUUAUUGCGGGAUUCUCAUCAAUGCAGGCAUGGGUAACUCAACCGUGCCGUUUAUACAGCCCUAGGGAACAGGCGAAUCCUAAGGCGAGUGAGUAGGCGUUUAAUAUUUGCUGCCUUUAUAAGGGGAUAAGGAUUCCCUCUUCUUCUCAUCACGCUCUCUCUCCGUCUCCGCCUUUCCGAUCUCAAGCUCCAGCACCCAAGUUCUCAUCACCUUUCCACUCAAGCAACCAUGUACGGAUCUGGUGGUCGGGGCAAGUGGAUGGUCUCCUCUGUCAAGGAGGAGGACAUUACUAAGCUCCGGGCGGCCGGAUAUUUGGCGAAGGAGAUCGCCCAUUGUUUGCCAAUCAAGGGACAAGUCGUCCCCACGCCGGAGCCCACGGAGAGGGUAGUAUUCAUCCCCCAUUUCUUCCGUGGGCUAGGGUUUCCACUCCACCCUUUCGUCUGCGGGCUGAUGUACUAUUACGGGAUAAAUUUCCAUGAUCUGUCCCCGAAUUCCUUCCUCAACAUCUCGGCAUUUAUCGUUGUGUUCAAGGCCUUCCUCCGCAUCCAUCCCCACUUCGGGUUGUGGCUCAAAGUCUUCAACGUGAAGCCGGAGGUGGUGGAUGGCCAGCACGCAGAGUGCGAAGGGGCCAUGGUGAGCAAGCUAUCCAACGUCUCCUGGCCCAAAGGCACCUUUGUGGAGACAGUAAAGGAAUGGCAGAAGCAGUGGUUCUACAUCACAGAACCUCGUGGCACCACCUGGGCCGCAGCUGCCGAAUUCCGCUCAAGUGCUCCCAUGCAACUCACCUCCUGGGUCGAGAAGAGUCCGGACUGGUGUUCACCUGACGAGCUGAUAGCACUACAGAUGCGCGUUCAAAGCAUGGUGACCAAGGACGUCAAGCUCGUUGACAUUAUCCAAGUGAUGCUAGUCUGCUGGAUUCUUCCGUGCCAGCGUCGAAGCCGCCCUUUAUGGGAGUUCAAUUUGAAGAAGCAUCAGACCCUGAAAAGGCUCUUCGAUACUUCUCACAAAGGGGCCUGGAAGUUGCUCUUUAAGGGCAACGAGAAGCCACCGGCCACGGACUCAGACCGUGGUCACAAUUGUAACCGCCCCGCCAGUGAGGUAUGUUACUUUUGACGUAUUCCCAACUUACAUGUUUCGAGGAUGAUGUCUGAGAUCUUAGUAUUGCUCCCUCGGGACUGGGUGGAGAGGGUGAAGCGGAUCCAGUGUCCGGCUCGAUUGCCGAAGAACCAGUCAUCCCGCGCCUAGCAAAGAUGCUGGUGCCAGCGCCAUAUACGGCGCCGAGAAGAAGGCCAAGAAGAAGGCCAAGGGGGCCGAGAGUGGCCCUCGUCACAAGGGCACUUUGGACGCGAUGUCCGAAGACGAGGCCCAUUCCUCUGUCCCUAAGGACAAUGACGAGGAAGAAGAGGAGGAGGAGGAAAACAACCCUCCACCCGAGGAGAAGAAGAAGAGGGUGGCCUCAGCACAUCUGGAGGCGAAAGCGCCCCAAAAGGGGAAGGGAGCCCCAGCGGUCAACACCGCGUGGGACAUUGACAGUAGUCCAGAAUGUCGCCCCCGUGCUAGGCCUCAGGCCGCAUCGUAAGAGCAUGGCUUAUUUAUGCGCACAUCCAGUCCUUUCUUUUUAUUAUUCUAACAUGGUUAAUCCACACUAUUGCAGUCCGACCUAUGACCUUAUCCAGCGAUCCUCAUCUGGAAGUUCGUUGGCUCCAUCGGAGAUGGCGAGCAUGUCGCCACCGCCUGCUUACUCCCCCGGGGCCAGGGACGACAUCAAAGUGUUAUCCCGGAGGACCGUUCCGAAGGUAGGAUCCUAGGAUGGUGUCCGGGAGGCGCCACAAGGCGGGACCUCCACUGCCGGACACAUAGGGGAGCCAAUCCCCAUGGAGACUGGCAAAGAGGGCCGUAUCCAGUUCGGCCCUCAGCUGAAUACGAUUCCGGAGAUCCAUAUGGCUCCGGAGUCGGGUGAGCAGCCCCCUUUGAAGGAGGGGGUGCGUCGCCUCCACCAGUGGCUCCUGUCCAUCCAGGAGCGCCAGAUGACCUGAUGAGGGUGCUACGAAGCGCCUCUGUUGUGGAUGAGCACCAUAUCCUUAUGGGUGCGGUGAUCGAGAAGGUUCAGUCUGCCAAGAGCGGACUGAAUGAAGCCUGCAGCAGCCUGUUAAUAGGUUUCGAGGUAAGAAAGAGAAAAACCAUGUAUAGUCCGUAGCCCUUGAGACGGUGUCCGGUGUUCGGCGAGGAGAACUGGACAGGGGAUCAAUCCUUAAUUAUAAGAGGCUGACUGAAUAUGUAUCGAUAAGCAGGCGUCCCUGUUGGCCGCGACCUCGCAUGCUGCUAAGGUCUCCGAGCUGAAGCGGAGGCUGGAGCGGACCGAGAACGAGCUCGGCGAGGUUAAGGUUCGGCUCCAAGAGAAGCAAGGUGAGGAACGACUUGCUAUAUGUUCGGGAAAAGGAUAAGCAUUGUAUAUUGACAGCAGUAUUGUGAUAUGUGCAGAAGCUGUGACCGAGGUCGAGGCCCUGAGGAAGGCCCUGGGCGAGGCCGAGGAGCAGGCUGUCCAGCAGCAAACCGCCCGUAAGAAGCUAAAGGCCUGGGUCAAAGAAGUCCAUCAGGAGCUCCAGGAUGCGGUGAAAAAAUGCGAGGCCUUGGAGCAUGAUGCGUCGGUUCAAGGGACCGAACUUGCCAAGGCUCAUCAGAGCAUGGAGACCGCACAGAAUGAGGCCCAAGCCGCCCUCCAGGAGAUCCAAGAGGCCAAGAAGAUCACAGUGGGUGAGGCAUUUAAGAUGCAAAUCAAGUAUGCAAAGAAGUAGUACCUUUUACUAACCCGGGUUCGGAGUUCCCCAGGGGCUUUUGCGGAUUUGCCACGCAGUGUAUCAGACGCCGUGGAGUUCUAUCGAGCCGAAGGAGGGGGUUCUUCGGAGAGGCUCUUCUGGACUCUGGUCGCAGUAUGCGGCACCAGAGCAUCCCGUGUCCUAACACUGAUCAGUUGAAACAGUUGGUGGAUCUGCAUAGGGUGGCCGAACUAGCCAUUAAGGAUUUGAUAAUCCGGUUGUGGCCAGCCGAAGCUAUGCCUAGCAGCUACUUUGGACUCAUGAGGCAGAUGGUGAAUGCUUGUCCUCGGCUGGACGUUAUCAAGCGCUCCAUCCGUAUUGAAGGUGCCCGUAUGGCCUUCGCUCACUGCAAGAUGUGGUGGGCGAAGAUGAACGCUGUUGAAGUCGCCAGCGGGCCGCCAGAGGGCAAGGAGCACCGCACACCCGAGCGAUAUUUCGAGGAUGUCGUAGAAGGGUCUCGACUUGUAGCGGCACAAUGUUCACAGGACAUUGUAUUUGAAUGAAUGUAUUCAUGCUGCCUUUGUCUUGUAUUAUGGGAACAAAGCCAGUUUUUGUAAAGUAAUUAUGCUUUGAAUUGUUUCCUCCUGUACGGCCGUGUUGUGUGUAAUCUGAGGGUUGGCCAGUCGUCAACUUCUGCCCUCACAUAGAUAGUACGGAGGUGUUCGGGAUGGAAUCUAAACAAACUUGAUCCAAUUACAUGGUCCUUGAAGGAGUUGUUUAGCGCAAGUACAAGGCAAUCAGACUUUAUGGAUUUAACGCCCUCACUUAGCCAUAGGAGUUUUAUAAUAAAGCAUGGGCGCAGCCCCUGGUUUAAGCCAGAGUACUGUCAGCAUCUGAUCGGGAAGUGCCGAUCUCUCGCGUAACACGGAAAAAAUCUCCAACGAGUUGUAACCCUCGAGUAGCUGACUGGCUCUUGCCACAUCAUGACAGUCAGUUUUCGGCUUUCUCUACUGAGGUGCUCGUGUGGUCAAAGCAAGGGCAAAAUUGCAGUAGUUCUCCCUUUACUACCCUAGCCGAUGGAGCGGAACGUAGGGUAGCAAGCACAGGAGCCGGGCAACCCAACUAUUGACCAAAGACAUGAUUCGGAGCCAAUGCAUAUAAUGCUAAAUUCGGGGUGCCGAACUUAUAUAUAAGAAGUGUUCGGACUGUGCUGCCAUAUUGUGGGGCGACAGGUAGCCCCUGGCGAAUAUGAAACGUAAAAGGGUGUCGAUGCAGCAAAUAGGCAUAUCGAAAUAAAACGAAGUAAGAAGCGAAAACCACAGAAGCUCGGCCACGAACCAUUUUUAUUAUAAUUGGAUGGAUACGUCAAGGCGUAUCUUGUACAGAUGGUGCAAGAAGUAUCCAGCCAUUUAACAUGCUGGAAUCAAUAGGGCGCAGCGUGCGGGUCCUGAGAAAUAAGUAUGAAUACCAUCAAGAAGAACGUAUAAAGGUUACCCUACACACCUGUGCCGCUUGCCUCCGUUGUAUUCCAGUCCUUUGAAAGGACUUGACAUCAGGCCCGCGGAAAAGGGUGCCUGAAACAAGAAAAAGAAGUAAAGGUAUGUGUGUCCGGGAUUGGUCUGGCCGAAUUAUAGACCCCGGGUUAUCUCGUGCCUCCGUCGGUGUCCAUGGAAUUUUGAGUGCGUAAUUGUGUACGUGUGGUAUGAAUGCCACUACCUCAUUGGGGCUGGGACGGAGGCCGAAUUGCUAGUCGAGCUCUUGACGAGCUGUGCUGUCCUGUUGCAGUGUAGUCCAGACCCUCUUGAUGGUGUCCAGGGGCUCGGCAGCUGGAUUAUAAUGCUGCUUGAGAAGGCCGCUUUGUACUUCUGCUGCUAGGGCGGUGGUUUGCUCCUCUGUUCGGAGGGAACGUUCCGUAUUGCCAUUGACUGUUAUGACGCCGCGUGGACCGAGCAUCUUGAGCUUGAGAUAAGCAUAGUGUGGCACUGCGUUAAAUCUAGCAAACGCGGUUCGUCCGAGCAGUGCGUGGUAGCCGCUGCGGAAGGGGACGAUAUCGAAGAUUAACUCUUCACUUUGGAAGCUGUCCGGAGAACCAAAAACCACCUCCAGCAUGAUUGAGCCCAUACAACGGGCCUCUACACCUGGUAUGACUCCUUUAAAGGUAGUCUUUGUUGGUUUGAUUCGUGAGGGAUUAAUGCCCAUCUUCCGUACUGUAUCCUGGUACAGCGGGUUGAGGCUGCUUCCACCAUCCAUCAGGACUCGUGUUAGGUGGACGAUGAUUGGGUCAAGGACCAGUGCGGCCGACCCGCCGUGGCGGAUACUAGUCGGAUGAUCUCGUUGAUCGAAGGUGAUCGGAAAUGACGACCAUGGAUUGAACUUUGGGGCGACUGGCUCUACCGCGUAGACGUCCUUGAGUGCUCGUCUGCGCUCCUUUCUGGGGAUGUGCGUGGCGUAUAUCAUGUUCACCGUUUUGACUUGGGGGGAUUUCUUCUGUCCCUCGGUGUUCGGCUGCCGGGGCUCUUCAUCCUCGUCCUCACUUUGUGAUCCCUUUUCUUUGUUUUCAGCAUUCAACUUGCCAGCCUGCUUGAAGACCCAACACUCCCAGUUGGUAUGAUUGGCUUGCUUAUCCGGGCAGCCAUGAAUUUGGCACGGACGGUCGAGUAUGCAGUCCAGGCUAGAAGGUCCUUCGUUGUUUCUUUUGUAGGGUUCCUUCCGUUGGCCGGACUUGGAGCCACUGAAUCCGGUGUUGACUGUGGUGUCCUCGGUGUUGUCAGCGUGCUUCGGUGUUUGUGUCUAUUGCGCCGGAGCUUUCCGGUGCUGAUCUUGGCCUCGGUGGGGCCUGCCUCGUUGGCUGUGUUUUUGCUACGAGCCAGCCAGCUAUCCUCACCUGUCCAAAAGCGGGUCAUGAGUGCCGUAAGGGCUGCCAUUGACUUCGGCUUUACUUGUCCGAAGUGGCAUGCUAGCCAUUCGUCACGGAUGCUGUGCUUGAAGGCUGCUAGGGCCUCGGCAUCCGGACAGUCAACAAUCUGGUUCUUUUUGGUUAGGAACCUAGUCCAGAAUUUUCUGGCUGAUUCUCCGGGUUGUUGAACUAUGUGGCUUAGGUCAUCGGCAUCUGGUGGCCGGACAUAAGUUCCUUGGAAGUUGUCGAGGAAAGCCUCUUCCAAGUCCUCCCAGCUGCCGAUGGAGUUCUCAGGCAGGCUAUUUAACCAGUGCCGAGCUGGUCCUUUGAGCUUUAAUGGGAGGUAUUUGAUGGCGUGGAGGUCGUCUCCUCGGGCCAUGUGGAUGUGGAGAAUGAAAUCCUCGAUCCAUACUGCAGGAUCGGUUGUGCUGUCGUAUGAUUCGAUAUUGACGGGCUUGAACCCCUCGGGGAAUUCAUGAUCCAGUACUUCAUCUGUGAAGCAGAGCGGGUGUGCGGCGCCUCUAUAUCGGGCCGCAUCGUGGCGGAGCUCUGAAGGAGUCCGUCUGUGGCAUUCGGCCCGAGCGUGGUUAGGUUUGUCACGUCCGAAUAGGUAGUCGUCGUUGUGCCUCAAGGCACAUCCUCGUGAUCCACAGAUCGAUCUUGUGUGUCCUGCUUUACUAUCCAGGGUCUGUCGGAGGUCACACAUAUGACUCUGGACUCUUCCGUCCCUAUUUUGACGGGGUGGUGGGGCGGUCUGUUGUUCGGCCUGAGUUGUCGCUUUAUCCCGACCGUGGGGUGGCCGUUCCGCCGCCCUGCCCCGACCAUGUGGUGGUCGAUCCGCAUUACGCGAGGGAGAUAUGUGCUCCGACGCCUCCUCAUCGAAUUGAGGUAGCAGUCUGCAUUUCAGGUAGCUCUUGGCUGGGUGGUUGAGGUCGUAUUCCUCGGCUGUCAGGACAUCAGUCCAUCUGUCGACGAGCAGGUCUUGUUCAGCUUGAAGUUGUUGUUGUUUCUUUUUCAGGCUCCUUGCAGUGGCUAUGAGCUGAAGCUUAAAGCCCUCCUGCUCGAGAGGAUCCUCAGGCACGAUGAAGUCUUCGUUGCCAAGGCUUGUCUCCUCCUCGGAGGAUGGACGGUAACUAUCAUCCUCCGAGUCAUCUUCUAUGGCAUGUUCGUCAGGGUUGUCUUGCCUGUUAUCGUGUUCCAGUUUGGAUGUAGCCCCGACAGGGUCUUCAUUGUUUUCGACAUCGCCAGUAGUACUAUUUUAUCCGGUGCCAGUGUUGCCGUCCUUUGAGCGGUGGGGCUUGGGGCGGCGCUUGGGUCGCCGGCGCUUGGACUAUGUCUCGGAGGUUUUAUUCGCAUCUGGCUCUUCUUUGUCGUUGCCAGAUCCUUUAGGUGUAUCAACCAUGUACACGUCAUACGAAGAGGUAGUUGUCCAACGUCCAGUGAGUGGCGGGUCUUGGCCUUGCUCCUUGUCGGCAUCAUCGUCCAUAUUGUCGAUGUCUUCGGAGCCAUAGUCAAGCACGUCGGUUAAGUCAUCGACGGUGGCUAUGAAGUGGUUGGCGGGUAGGAAGCAAGAUUCCUCAUCAUCCGUCUCUAGCUCGAACCGGACAUAGUUCGGUUGUGAGUCCUUCUCCAAGGACAAAUUCUUUAAAGAUUUUAGCACGUCACCCAAAGGCGAGUGCUGGAAAAUGUCAACGGCACUAAACUUGAAGAUCGAUAACCGAUCUAGCUCGGUGUCCGCGGGCGUACACAAUCCAGAACUCAUAGCCGGAGAUGAGUCUGAAGUUCCGUUAAAGCGAAUAUUGCAGGGCGUCGAGUCCAUGUGCGGCUCCAACACCGCGGACUCUGCAGACUCGCAUGGCUCGAUCUGCUUCGGCUCUAAGGUCGUUGCAACCACAGGGACCAUCUCCUGGGUGUGAUUCGAUGACAGAUUUAAGUCACGUUCAUCGGGAUGAGGGGGAGCGAUCGCCGUGGGUUCAAAUCCCUCGAAGAUCAAGUCUCUAUGGAUAUCCACGACGUAGUUCAAGCUUCUGAAUUUAACCUGAUGGCCAGGGGUGUAGCUGUAGAUCUGCUCCAUAUGGCCAAGCGAGUUGGCCCGCAGUACGAAGCCGCCGAAUACAAAGAUCUGCCCGGGGAGGAAGGUUCCUCUUUGGACAACAUCAUUAUUGACGAUUGAAGGGGCCAUCGAACCUUUUGUCGACGGCACAGCGGAACUCUCAAUGAAAGCACCAAUGUCGGUGUCAAAACUGGCGGACCUUGGGUAGAGGGUCCCGAACUAUGCGUCUAGGAUCGAUGGUAACAGGAGACGGGGGACACGAUGUUUACCAGGUUCGAGCCUCUCUAUGGAGGUAAUACCCUACUUCCUGCUUGAUUGAUCUUGAUGAAUAUGAGUAUUACAAGAGUUGAUCUACCACGAGAUCAUAAUGGCUAAACCCUAGAAGUCUAGCCUAUGAAUAUGGUAAUGAGUAUAUGUCGUGUCCUUUCUGGACUAUCCCCUUCGGUUUAUAUAGACACCGAGGGAUCUAGGGUUUACAUGGAGUCGGUUACAUAAGAAGGAAUCUUCGGUCGCCAAGCUUGCCUUCCACGCCAAGUAGAGUCCAAUCCGGACACGGUGCAGUCUUCGGCCUUCAUGUCUUCACAGCCCAUCAGUCCGGCCCAUGGAUAACAGGCCGGACGCGCGAGGACCCCUUAGUCCUGGACUCCCUUAGUGGAGGGGUAUAUAUAGCCCCCACACAAAAUCCAACCGUUACACACAUUUGACUCAUCUCGGUGGCACCGAAUAGUUAAACUCGAUGGCACUAAUCAGUUAAAAAAUGUGAAAAUUAGGAAUCUCGGUAAGUCUCUUUACUCGUUCCGUAAUGCAUCAUCCCGCAACUAACUUAUUGGUCACAAUGAUUGCAAGGCUUAUAGUGAUGUGCAUUACCGAGAGGGCCUAGAGAUACCUCUCCGAUACUCGGAGUGAAAAAUCCUAAUAUCGAUCUAUGCCAACUCAACAAACACCUUUGCAGACACCUGUAGAGCACCUUUAUAAUCACCCAGUUAUGUUGUGACGUUUCGUAGCACACAAAGUGUUCCUCCGGAAUUCGGGAGUUUCAUAAUCUCAUAGUCAUAGGAACAUGUAUAAGUCAUGAAGAAAGCAAUAGCAACAAACUAAAUUAUCAUCAUGCUAAGCUAAUGGAUGGGUCAAGUUAAUCACAUCAUUCUCUAAUGAUGUGAUCCCAUUAAUCAAAUGACAACUCAUGUCUAUGGCUAGGAAACUUAACCAUCUUUGAUUCAACGAGCUAGUCAAGUAGAGGCAUACUAGUGAGACUCUGUUUGUCCAUGUAUUCACACAUGUACUAAGUUUCCGGUUAAUACAAUUCUAGCAUGAAUAAUAAACAUUUAUCAUGAUAUAAGGAAAUAUAAAUAACAACUUUAUUAUUGCCUCUAGGGCAUAUUUCCUCCAGUCUCCCACUUGCACUAGAGUCAAUAAUCUAGUUCACAUCGUUAUGUGAUUUGACACCAAUAGUUCACAUCUUUAUGUGAUUAGUUCAUAUCUCCAUGUGACUAACACCCAAAGGGUUUACUAGAGUUGAUAAUCUAGUUCACAUUGCUAUGGGAUUAACACCCAAAGAGUGAUCAUGUUUUGCCUGUGAGAGAAAUUUAGUCAACGGGUCUGCCACAUUCAGAGUCGUAUGUAUUUUGCAAAUAUUCUAUGUCUACAAUGCUUUGCAUGGAGCUACUCUAGCUAAUUGCUCCCACUUUCAAUAUGUAUCUAGAUCGAGACUUAGAGUCAUCCAGAUCGGUGUCAAAGCUUGCAUCGACAUAACUCUUUACGACGAACUCUUUGUCACCUCCAUAACCAAGAAACAUUUCCUUAUUCCACUAAGGAUAUUUUUGACCGUUGUCCAGUGAUCCACUCCUGGAUCACUAUUGUACCCUCUUGCCAAACUUAUGGUGAGGUACACAAUAGGUCUGGUACACAUCAUGACAUACUUUAUAGAACCUAUGACUGAGGCAUAGGGAAUGACUUUUCAUUCUCUUUCUAUUUUCUGUCAUGGUCGGGUUUUGAGUCUUUACUCAACUUCACACCUUGCAACACAGGCAAGAACUCCUUCUUUGACUGUUCCAUUUUGAACUACUUCAAAAUCUUGUCAAGGUAUGUACUCAUUGAAAAUAUAUCAAGCGUGUUGAUCUAUCUCUAUAGAUCUUGAUGCUCAAUAUGUAAGUAGCUUCACCGAGGUCUUUCUUUGAAAAACUCCUUUCAAACACUCCUUUAUGCUUUCCAGAAAAUUCUACAUUAUUUCCGAUCAACAAUAUGUCAUUCACAUAUACUUAUCAGAAAUGAUGUAGUGCUCCCACUCACUUUCUUGUAAAUACAAGCUUCACCGCAAGUCUGUAUAAAGCCAUAUGCUUUGAUCACUUUAUCAAAGCAUAUAUUCCAACUCCGAGAUGCUUGCACCAGUCCAUAAAUGGAUUGCUGGAGCUUGCACACUUUGUUAGCACCUUUUGGAUUGACGAAACCUUAUGGUUGCAUCAUAUACAACUCUUCUUUAAGAUGUCAAUUAAGGAAUGCAGUUUUCACAUCCAUUUGCCAAAUUUCAUAAUCAUAAAAUGCGGCAAUUGCUAACAUGAUUCAGGCGGACUUAAGCAUCGCUACGGGUGAGAAGGUCUCACCGUAGUCAACUCCUUGAACUUGUCGAAAACCUUUUGCAACUAGUUGAGCUUUGUAGACAGUAAUAUUACCGUCAGCGUCAGUCUUCUUCUUGAAGAACCAUUUAAUCUCUAUGGCCUGCCGACCAUCGUGCAAGUCAACCAAAGUCCAUACUUUGUUCUCAUACAUGGAUCCCAUCUCAGAUUUCAUGGCUUCAAGCCAUUUUGCGGAGUCUGGGCUCAUCAUCGCUUCCUCAUAGUUCGUAGGUUCGUCAUGGUCAAGUAACAUGACCUCCAGAAUAGGAUUAUUGUUCCAAUCUGGUGUGGAUCUCACUCUGGUUGACCUACGAGGUUCAGUAGUAACUUGAUCUGAAGUUACAUGAUCAUCAUCAUUAGCUUCCUCACUAAUUGGUGUAGGAGUCAUAGGAAUAGAUUUCUGUGAUGAACUACUUUCCAAUAAGGGAGCAGGUACAGUUACCUCAUCAAGUUCUACUUUCCUCCCACUCACUUCUUUAGAGAGAAACUCCUUCACUAGAGAGGAUCCAUUCUUAGCAACGAAUGUCUUGCCUUUGGAUCUGUGAUAGAAGGUGUACCCAACUGUCUCCUUUGGGUAUCAUAUGAAGACACAUCUCUCCGAUUUGGGUUUGAGCUUAUCAAGAUGAAACUUUUUCACAUAAGCAUCGCAACCCCAAACUUUAAGAAAUGACAGCUUUGGUUUCUUGCCAAACCAUAGUUCAUACGAUGUCAUCUCAACGGAUUUAGAUGGUGCCCUAUUUAACAUGAAUGCAGCUCUCUCUAAUGCAUAACCCCAAAACAAUAGCGGUAAAUCAGUAAGAGACAUCAUAGAUCACACCAUAUCUAGUAAGGGAAAACUUUGUUUUUGCCACUCUGGUUUUUGCCCACUUUGCUUAUGCCACUCUAGAAAUUGACAUUUCACUUUUGCCACUCUUAGCUUUUGACAAUAUAUCACUUUUGUCAUUUAGUGGCAAAAGCAAAACUUUCAAAGUGGCAAUUGUGAUACAUUGUCAAAAGCUAAGAGUGGCAAAAGUGAAAUGAAAAAUUAUCGGUUUUGCCACGGAAUGGCAUUUGUGAUGUAUUGUCAAAAGCAAAGAGUGGCAAAAGUGAGAUGUACAAUUCUAGAGUGGCAUAAGCAAAAUUGGCAAAAGCUAGAGUGGCAAAAAUAAAGUUUUCCCAUCUAGUAAAGUGCGACUACGACGUUCGGACACACCGUUACGCUGUAGUGUUCCAGGUGGUGUGAGUUGCGAAACUAUUCCGCAUUGUUUCAAAUGAAGACCAAACUCGUAACUCAAAUAUUCUCCUCCACGAUCAGAUCGUAGAAACUUUAUUUUCUUGUUACGAUGAUUUUCCACUUCACUCUAAAAUUCUUUGAACUUUUCAAAUAUUUCAGACUUAUGUUUCAUCAAGUAGAUAUACCCAUAUCUGCUCAAAUCACCUGUGAAGGUCAGAAAAUAAUGAUACCCGCCAUGAGCCUCAGCAAUUAUCGGACCCCAUACAUUAGUAUGUAUUAUUUCCAAUAAGUCAGUUGCUCGCUCCAUUGUUUCGGAGAACGGAGUCUUAGUCAUCUUGCCUGUGAGGCAUGGUUCGCAAGCAUCAAGUGAUUCAUAAUCAAGUGAUUCCAAAAGCCCAUCAGCAUGGAGUUUCUUCAUGCGCUUUACAUCAAUAUGACCUAAACGGCAGUGCCGCAAAUAAGUUGCACUAUCAUUAUUAAUUUUUCAUCUUUUGGCUUCAAUAUUAUAAAUAUGUGUAUCACUAUGAUCGAGAUUCAAUAAACCAUCCACCUUGUGUGUAUGACCACAGAAGGUUUUAUUCAUGUAAACAGAAUAACAAUUAUUCUUUGACUUAAAUGAAUAGCUGUAUUGCAAUAUAUAGGAUCCAAUCAUAUUAUGCUCAACACAAACACCAAAUAACAUUUAUUUUAGGUUCAAUACUAAUCCCGAAGGUAAAGGGAGUGUGCGAUGAUGAUCUUAUCAACCUUGGAAUUACUUCCAACACACAUCGUCACCUCGCCCUCAACAAGUCUUUGUUUAUUUUUCAACUCCCGUUUCGAGUUACUACUCUUAGCAACUGAACCAGUAUCAAAUACUAAGGGGUUGCUAUAAACACUAGUAAAGUACACAUCAAUAACAUGUAUAUCGAAUAUACUUUUGUUCACUUUGCCAUCCUUCUUAUCUGCCAAGUAUCUAGGGCAGUUCCACUUCCAGUGACCAUUUCCUUUGCAGUAGAAGCACUUAGCUCUAGGCUUGGGUCUAGCUUUGGGCUUCUUCAUGGGAGUGACAACUUGCUUGCCAUUCUUCUUGAAGUUCCCUUUCUUUCCCUUUCCCUUUUACUUGAAACUAGUGGUCUUGUCAACCAUAAACAUUUGAUGCUUUUCUUGAUUUCUACCUUCGUCGAUUUCAGCAUUACAAAGAGCUCGGGAAUCGUUUUCGUCAUCCCUUGCAUAUUAUAGUUCAUCAUGAAGUUCUAGUAACUUGGUGAUAGUGACUAGAGAACUCUGUCAAUUACUAUCUUAUUUGGAAGAUUAACUCCCACUUGAUUCAAGCAAUUGUAGUACCCAGACAAUCUGGGCACAUGCUCACUGGUUGAGCUAUUCUCCUCCAUCUUGUAGGCAAAGUAUUGUCAGAGGUCUCAUACCUCUCGACACGGGCAUGAGUAUGAAAUACCAAUUUCAACUCUUGGAACAUCUCAUAUGCUCCAUGUCGUUCAAAACAAUUUGAAGUCCCGGUUCUAAUCCGUAAAGCAUGGUGCACUAAACUAUCAAGUAGUCAUCAUACUGAGCUUGCCAAACGUUCAUAACGUCUGCAUCUGCUCCUCCAAUCGGUCUGUCACCUAGCGGUGCAUCAAGGACAUAAUUCUUCUAUGCAACAAUGAGGAUAAUCCUCAGAUCACAGAUCCAAUCCGCAUCAUUGCUACUAUCAUCUUUCAACAUAGUUUUCUCUAGGAACAUAUCAUCAAUAAAACGGGGAAGCUAUACGCGAGCAAUUGAUCUACAACAUAGAUAUGCAAAUACUAUCAGGACUAAGUUCAUGAUAAAUUUAAGUUCGAUUAAUCAUAUUACUAAAGAACUCCCACUUAGAUAGACAUCUCUCUAAUCUUCUAAGUGAUCAUGUGAUCCAUAUCAACAAAACCAUGUCUGAUCAUCACGUGAGAUGGAGUAGUUUUCAACGGUGAACAUCACUAUGUUGAUCAUAUCUACUAUAUGAUUCACGCUCGACCUUUUGGUCUCUAGUGUUUCGAGGCCAUAUCUGCAUAUGCUAGGCUCGUCAAGUUUAACCCGAAUAUUCUGCGUGUGCAAAACUGGCUUGCACCCAUUGUAUGUGAACGUAGAGCUUACCACACCCGAUCAUCACGUGGUGUCUUGGCACGACGAACUGCCACAACGGUGCAUACUUAGGGAGAACACUUAUACUUUGAAAUUUAGUGAGAGAUCAUCUUAUAAUGCUACCGCCGAACUAAGCAAAAUAAGAUGCAUAUAGGAUAAACAUCACAUGAAAUCAAAAUAUGUGACAUGAUAUGGCCAUGAUCAUCUUGCGCCUUUGAUAUCCAUCUCCAAAGUACCGUCAUGAUCUCUAUUGUCACCGGCAUGACACCAUGAUCUCCAUCAUCUUGAUCUCUAUCAACGUGUCAUCACAUGGUUGUCUCGCCAACUAUUACUCUUGCAACUAUUGCUAUCGCAUAGCGAUAAAGUAAAACAAUUAUUUGGCACUUGCAUCUUAUGCAAUAAAGAGACAACCAUAAGGCUCCUGCUAGUUGCCGAUAACUUAAACAAAACAUGAUCAUCUCAUACAACAAUUUAUAUCUCAUCACGUCUUGACCAUAUCACAUCACAACAUGCCCUGCAAAAACAAGUUAGACGUCCUCUACUUUGUUGUUGCAAGUUUUACAUGGCUGCUAUGGGCUGAGCAAGAACCGUUCUUACCUACGCAUCAAAAACCACAACGCGCUAUAGUGAUUGCUUUUUGAUCUUCAGAAAGAACCCUGUUCAUUGAAUCCGACUCAACUAAAGCUGGAGAAACAGACACCCACUAGCCACCUGUGUGCGAAGCACGUCGGUAGAACCAGUCUUGCGUAAGCGUACGCGUAAUGUCGGUCUGGGCCACUUCAUCCAACAAUGCCGCUGAAUCAAGAAUCAACUAGUGACGGCAAGCAAUAUGUAUAUACCCACGCCCAUAACUCCUUUGUGUUCCACUAAUGCAUAUAACAUCUAUGCAUAAACCUGGCUCGGAUGCCACUGUUGGGGAACGCAGUAAUUUCAAAAAAAAUUCUUACGCACACGCAAGAUCAUGGUGAUGCAUAGCAACGAGAGGGGAGAGCUUCGUCCACGUACCCUCGUAGACCGUAAGCGGAAGCGUUAUGAGAACGCGGUUGAUGUAGUCGUACUUCUUCAUGAUCCGAUCGAUCCAAGUACCGAACGUACGACACCUCCGAGUUCAGCACACGUUCAGCUCGGUGAUGUCCCACGAACCCCGAUCCAGCAGAGCUUCGAGGGAGAGCUUCGUCAGCACGAUAGGGUGAUGACGGUGAUGAUGAUGCUACCGACGCAGGGCUUCGCCUAAGCACCGCUACGAUAUGACCGAGGUGGAUUAUGGUGGAGGGGGGCACCGCACAUAGCUAAAAGAUCAAUUGAUCAACUUGUGUGUCCAUGGGGUGCCCCCCUCCCCCGUAUAUAAAGGAGAGGAUGAGGGGGAGGGCCGGCCCUCUACUAUGGCGCGCCCUGGGGAGUCCUACUCCCACCGGGAGUAGGAUUCCCCCCUUCCAUGUAGUAGGAGUAGGAGAGAAGGAAAGGGAAAAGAGAAGAGAAGGAAGGAGGGGGCUCCGCCCCUCUCCCUAGUACAAUUCGGACUAAGCCUUGCGGGGCGCGCAGCCUCCCCUCUCUCUUUCCCCUAAAGCCCAAUAAGGCCCAUAUACUCCCCGACGAAUUCCCGUAACUCUCCGGUACUCCGAUAAAUACCCGAACCACUCAGAACCUUUCUGAUGUCUGAAUUGUUGGGGAACGUUGCAGAAAACAAAAAAUUUCCUACGGUUUCACCAAGAUCCAUCUAGGAGUUCAUCUAGCAACGAGUGGUCGUAUUGCAUCUACAUACCUUUGUAGAUCGCGCGCGGAAGCGUUCAAGAGAACGGGGUUGAUGGAGUCGUACUCGUCGUGAUCCAAAUCACCGAUGGUCCUAGCGCCAAACGGACGGCACCUCCGCGUUCAACACACGUACGGAGCAGCGACGUCUCCUCCUUCUUGAUCCAGCAAGGGGGGAGGAGAGGUUGAUUGAGAUCCAGCAGCACGACGGUGUGGUGGUGGAAGUAGCGGGAUUUCAACAGGGCUUCGCCAAGCGCUGCGGGAGGAGGGAGAUGUGUCACGGGAGGGAGAGGGAGGCGCCAGGGCUUAGGUGUGGCUACCCUCCCUUCCCCCCACUAUAUAUAGGGCCAAUGGAGAGGGGGGUGCGCAGCCUUGGCCCUUCCUCCAAGGAAGGGUGCGGCCAGGGAGGAGUCCAUCCUCCCCAAGGCACCUAGGAGGUGCCUUCCCCCUUUCGGACUCUUCCUUUCCCUUAUCUCUUGGCGCAUGGGCCUCUUGGGGCUGGUGCCCUUGGCCCAUAUAGGCCAAGGCACACACCCCUACAGCCCAUGUGGCCCCCCGGGGCAGGUGGACCCCCUUGGUGGACCCCCGGACCCCUUUCGGCAUUCCCGGUACAAUACCGAUAAUGCGCGAAACUUUUCCGGCGACCAAAACAAGACUUCCCAUAUAUAAAUCUUUACCUCUGGACCAUUCCGGAACUCCUCGUGACGUCCGGGAUCUCAUCCGGGACUCCGAACAACAUUCGGGUUACUGCAUAUACAUAUCCCUACAACCCUAGCAUCACCGAACCUUAAGUGUGUAGACCCUACGGGUUCGGGAGACAUGUAGACAUGACCGAGAUCGCUCUCCGGUCAAUAACCAACAGCGGGAUCUGGAUACCCAUGUUGGCUCCCACAUGCUCCUCGAUGAUCUCAUCGGAUGAACCACGAUGUCGAGGAUUCAAGCAACCCCGUAUACAAUUCCCUUUGUCAAUCGGUAUGUUACUUGCCCGAGAUCCGAUCGUCGGUAUCCCAAUACCUCGUUCAAUCUCGUUACCGGCAAGUCACUUUACUCGUACCGUAAUGCAUGAUCCCGUGAUCAGACACUUGGUCACUUUGAGCUCAUUAUGAUGAUGCAUUACCGAGUGGGCCCAGUGAUACCUCUCUGUCAUACGGAGUGACAAAUCCCAGUCUUGAUCCGUGUCAACCCAACAGACACUUUCGGAGAUACCCGUAGUAUACCUUUAUAGUCACCCAGUUACGUUGUGACGUUUGGUACACCCAAAGCACUCCUACGGUAUCCGGGAGUUACACGAUCUCAUGGUCUAAGGAAAGGAUACUUGACAUUAGAAAAACUCUAGCAAACGAACUAUACGAUCUUAUGCUAUGUUAGGAUUGGGUCUUGUCCAUCACAUCAUUCUCCUAAUGAUGUGAUCUCGUUAUCAAUGACAUCCAAUGUCCAUAGUCAGGAAACCAUGACUAUCUGUUGAUCAAUGAGCUAGUCAACUAGAGGCUUACUAGGGACAUGUUGGUGUCUAUUAUUCACACAUGUAUUAUGAUUUCCGGAUAACACAAUUAUAGCAUGAAUAAAGACAAUUAUCAUGAACAAGGAAAUAUAAUAAUAAUGCUUUUAUUAUUGCCUCUAGGGCAUAUUUCCAACAGUCUCCCACUUGCACUAGAGUCAAUAAUCUAGUUACAUUGUGAUGAAUCGAACACCCAUGGAAUUCUGGUGUUGAUCAUGUUUUGCUCUAGGGAGAGGUUUAGUCAACGGAUCUGCUACAUUCAGGUCCGUAUGUACUUUACAAAUAUCUAUGUCUCCAUCUUGAACAUUUUCACGAAUGGAGUUGAAGCGACGCUUGAUGUGCUUUGUCUUCUUGUGAAACAUGGGCUCCUUGGCAAGAGCAAUAGCUCCAGUGUUGUCACAGAAGAGUUUGAUUGGCCCCGACGCAUUGGGUAUGACUCCUAGGUCGGUGAUGAACUCCUUCACCCAAAUUGCUUCAUGCGAUGCCUCCGAGGCUGCCAUGUACUCCGCUUCACAUGUAGAUCCCGCCACGACGCUCUGCUUGCAACUGCACCAGCUUACUGCCCCACCAUUCAAAAUAUACACGUAUCCAGUUUGUGACUUAGAGUCAUCCAGAUCUGUGUCGAAGCUAGCGUCGACGUAACCUUUUACGACGAGCUCUUCGUCACCUCCAUAAACAAGAAACAUUUCCUUAGUCCUUUUCAGGUACUUCAGGAUAUUCUUGACCGUUGUCCAGUGUUCCUUGCCGGGAUUACUUUGGUACCUUCCUACCAAACUUACGGCAAGGUUUACAUCAGGUCUGGUACACAGCAUGGCAUACAUAAUAGAACCUAUGGCUGAGGCAUAGGGGAUGACACUCAUCUCUUCUAUAUCUUCUGCCGUGGUCGGACAUUGAGCUGAGCUCAAUUUCACACCUUGUAACACAGGCAAGAACCCCUUCUUAGACUGAUCCAUAUUGAAUUUCUUCAAUAUCUUAUCAAGGUAUGUGCUUUGUGAAAGACCUAUGAGGCGUCUUGAUCUAUCUCUAUAGAUCUUGAUGCCUAAUAUAUAUGCAGCUUCUCCAAGGUCCUUCAUUGAAAAACUCUUAUUCAAGUAGGCCUUAAUGCUGUCCAAGAGUUCUAUAUCAUUUCCCAUCAAAAGUAUGUCAUCUACAUAUAAUAUGAGAAAUGCUACAGAGCUCCCACUCACUUUCUUGUAAACACAGGCUUCUCCAUAAGUCUGCGCAAACCCAAACGCUUUGAUCAUCUCAUCAAAGCGAAUGUUCCAACUCCGAGAUGCUUGCACCAGCCCAUAAAUUGAGCGUUGGAGCUUGCACACCUUGUCAGCAUUCUUAGGAUCGACAAAACCUUCCGGCUGCAUCAUAUACAAUUCUUCCUUAAGGAAACCAUUAAGGAAUGCCGUUUUGACGUCCAUUUGCCAUAUCUCAUAAUCAUAGAAUGCGGCAAUUGCUAACAUGAUUCGGACGGACUUUAGCUUCGCUACCGGUGAGAAAGUCUCAUCGUAGUCAACCCCUUGAACUUGUCGAUAACCCUUAGCAACAAGCCGAGCUUUAUAGAUGGUCACAUUACCAUCCGUGUCUAUCUUCUUCUUAAAGAUCCAUUUAUUUUCUAUGGCUCGCCGCUCAACAGGCAAGUCAGUCAAAGUCCAUACUUUGUUUUCAUACAUGGAUCCUAUCUCGGAUUUCAUGGCUUCUAGCCAUUUGUCGGAAUUCGGGCCCGCCAUCGCUUCUUCAUAGUUCGAAGGUUCACUGUUGUCUAACAACAUGAUUUCCAAGACAGGGUUGCCGUACCACUCUGGUGCAGAACGUGUCCUUGUGGACCUACGAAGUUCAGUAGCAACUUGAUUUGAAGUUUCAUGAUCAUCAUCAUUAACUUCCUCUCUAGUCGGUGCAGGCACCUCAGGAACAUUUUCUUGAGUUGCGCCAUUUUCCGGUUCAAGAGGUAAUACUUCAUCAAGUUCUACUUUCCUCCCACUUACUUCUUUCGAGAGAAACUCUUUCUCUAGAAAGGAUCCAUUCUUGGCAACAAAGAUCUUGCCUUCGGACCUGAGGUAGAAGGUAUACCCAAUAGUUUCUUUAGGGUAUCCUAUGAAGACGCAUUUUUCCGACUUGGGUUCGAGCUUUUCAGGUUGAAGUUUCUUGACAUAAGCAUCGCAUCCCCAAACUUUUAGAAAUGACAGCUUAGGUUUCUUCCUAAACCAUAAUUCAUACGGUGUCGUCUCAACGGAUUUCGAUGGAGCCCUAUUUAAAGUGAAUGCGGCAGUCUCUAAAGCAUAGCCCCAAAAAGAUAGCGGUAAAUCGGUAAGAGACAUCAUAGAUCGCACCAUAUCUAAUAGAGUGCGAUUGCGAUGUUCGGACACACCAUUACGCUGAGGUGUUCCAGGCGGCGUGAGUUGUGAAACUAUUCCACAUUUCUUAAGUGUGUGCCAAAUUCGUGACUCAAGUAUUCUCCUCCACGAUCUGAUCGCAAAAACUUGAUUUUUCUGUCACGUUGAUUCUCAACCUCACUCUGAAAUUCCUUGAACUUUUCAAAGGUUUCAGACUUGUGUUUCAUUAAGUAGACAUACCCAUAUCUACUCAAGUCAUCAGUGAGGGUGAGAACAUAACGAUAGCCACCGCGAGCCUCAACACUCAUUGGACCGCACACAUCAGUAUGUAUGAUUUCCAAUAAGUUGGUUGCUCGCUCCAUUGUUCCUGAGAACGGAGUCUUGGUCAUUUUACCCAUGAGGCAUGGUUCGCACGCGUCAAAUGAUUCGUAAUCAAGAGACUCUAAAAGUCCAUCAGCAUGGAGCUUCUUCAUGCGUUUGACACCUAUGUGACCAGGGCGGCAGUGCCACAAGUAUGUGGGACUAUCAUUAUCAAUCUUACAUCUUUUGGUACUCACACUAUGAACAUGUGUAGCAUUAUGCUCGAGAUUCAUUAAGAAUAAACCAUUCACCAUCAGAGCAUGACCAUAAAACAUAUCUCUCAUAUAAAUAGAACAACCAUUAUUCUCGGAUUUAAAUGAGUAGCCAUCUCGUAUUAAAUGAGAUCCCGAUACAAUGUUCAUGCUCAAAGCUGGCACUAAAUAACAAUUAUUGAGGUUUAAAACUAAUCCCGUAGGUAAAUGCAGAGGUAGCGUGCCGACGGCGAUCACAUCGACCCUGGAACCAUUCCCGACGCGCAUCGUCACCUCGUCCUUCGCCAGUCUCCGCUUAUUCCGCAGCUCCUGCUUUGAGUUACAAAUGUGAGCAACUGCACCGGUAUCAAAUACCCAGGAGCUACUACGAGUACUGGUAAGGUACACAUCAAUUACAUGUAUAUCACAUAUACCUUUUGUUUUGCCGGCCUUCUUGUCUGCUAAGUAUUUGGGGCAGUUCCGUUUCCAGUGACCACUUCCCUUGCAAUAAAAGCACUCAGUCUCGGGCUUGGGUCCAUUCUUUGGCUUCUUCCCGGCAGCUUGCUUGCCGGGCGCGGCAACUCCCUUGCCGUCCUUCUUGAAGUUCUUUUUACCCUUGCACUUCUUGAACUUAGUGGUUUUAUUCACCAUCAACACUUGAUGUUCCUUUUUGACUUCUACCUCUGCUGAUUUCAGCAUUGCAAAUAAUUCGGGAAUGGUCUUUUCCAUCCCCUGCAUAUUGAAGUUCAUCACAAAGCUCUUGUAGCUUGGUGGAAGCGACUGAAGGAUUCUGUCAAUGACUGCAUCAUCCGGGAGAUUAACUCCCAGCUGAGUCAAGCGGUUAUGUAACCCAGACAUUGUAAGUAUGUGCUCAUUGAUAGAACUAUUUUCCUCCAUCUUACAGCUGAAGAAUUUGUCAGAGACUUCAUAUCUCUCGACCCGGGCAUGAGCUUGAAAAACCAUUUUCAGCUCUUCGAACAUCUCAUAUGCUCCGUGUCUCUCAAAACGUUUUUGGAGCCCCGGUUCUAAGCUGUAAAGCAUGCCGCACUGAACGAGGGAGUAAUCAUCAGCACGUGUCUGCCAAGCGUUCAUAACGUCUUGGUUCUGUGGGACGGGUGCGUCACCUAGCGGUGCUUGUAGGACAUAAUCUUUCUUGGCAGCUAUGAGGAUGAUCCUCAGGUUUUGGACCCAGUCCGUAUAGUUGCUGCCAUCGUCUUUUAGCUUGGUUUUCUCUAGGAACGCGUUGAAGUUGAAGACAACGUUGGCCAUUUGAUCUACAAGACAUAUUGUAAAGUUUUAGACUAAGUUCAUGAUAAUUAAGUUCAUGUAAUCAAAUUAUUCAAUGAACUCCCACUCAGAUAGACAUCCCUCUAGUCAUCUAAGUAUAACAUGAUCCGAGUUAACUAGGCCGUGUCCGAUCAUCACGUGAGACGAACUAGUCAACGUCGGUGAACAUCUUCAUGUUGAUCGUAUCUUCUAUAUGACUCAUGCUCGACCUUUCGGUCUUCUGUGUUCUGAGGCCAUGUCUAUACAUGCUAGGCUCAUCAAGUCAACCUAAGUGUUUGCAUGUGUAAAUCUGUCUUACACCCGUUGUAUGUGAACGUUGGAAUCUAUCACACCCGAUCAUCACGUGGUGCUUCGAAACAACGAACUGUCGCAACGGUGCACAGUUAGGGGGAACACUUUCUUGAAAUUAUUAUGAGGGAUCAUCUUAUUUACUACCGUCAUUCUAAGCAAACAAGAUGUACAAAACAUGAUAAACAUCACAUGCAAUCAAAUAAUAAUAGUGACAUGAUAUGGCCAAUAUCACAUAGCUCCUUUGAUCUCCAUCUUGGGGCUCCAUGAUCAUCUUGUCACCGGCAUGACACCAUGAUCUCCAUCAUCAUGAUCUCCAUCAUCGUGUCUCCAUGAAGUUGCUCGCCAACUAUUACUUCUACUACUACGGCUAACGCGUUUAGCAAUAAAGUAAAGUAAUUUACAUGGCGUUUCUCAAUGACACGCAGGUCAUACAAAAAAUAAAGACAACUCCUAUGGCUCCUGCCGGUUGUCAUACUCAUCGACAUGCAAGUCGUGAUUCCUAUUACAAUAGCAUGAACAUCUCAUACAUCACAUAUAUAUCACUCAUCAUUCAUCACAACUUUGGCCAUAUCACAUCACAGAACACUUGCUGCAAAAACAAGUUAGACGUCCUCUAAUUGUUGUUGCAAGUUUUACGUGGCUGCAAUAGGGUUCUAGCAAGAACGUUUUCUUACCUACGUGAAAGCCACAACGUGAUUUGUCAAGUUCUAUUUACCCUUCAUAAGGACCCUUUUCAUCGAAUCCGCUCCAACUAAAGUGGGAGAGACAGACACCCGCCAGCCACCUUAUGCAACUUGUGCAUGUUAGUCGGUGGAACCGGUCUCACGUAAGCGUACGUGUAAGGUUGGUCCGGGCCGCUUCAUCCCAUAAUACUGCUGAAGCAAGAUAAGACUAGUAGCGGCAAGAAAGUUGACAACAUCUACGCCCACAACAAAUUGUGUUCUACUCGUGCAAAGAGAACUACGCAUAGACCUAGCUCAUGAUGCCACUGUUGGGGAACGUUGCAGAAAACAAAAAAUUUCCUACGGUUUCACCAAGAUCCAUCUAGGAGUUCAUCUAGAAACGAGUGGUCGGAUUGCAUCUACAUACCUUUGUAGAUCGCGCGCGGAAGCGUUCAAGAGAACAGGGUUGAUGGAGUCGUACUCGUCGUGAUCCAAAUCACCGAUGGUCCUAGCGCCGAACGGACGGCACCUCCACGUUCAACACACGUACAGAGCAGAGACGUCUCCUCCUUCUUGAUCCAGCAAGGGGGGAGGAGAGGUUGAUGGAGAUCCAGCAGCACGACGGCGUGGUGGUGGAAGUAGCGGGAUUUCAACAGGGCUUCGCCAAGCGCUGCGGGAGGAGGGAGAUGUGUCACGGGAGGGAGAGGGAGGCACCAGGGCUUAGGUGUGGCUGCCCUCCCUUCCCCCCACUAUAUAUAGGGCCAAGGGAUAGGGGGGUGCGCAGCCUUGGCCCUUCCUCCAAGGAAGGGUGCGGCCAGGGAGGAGUCUAUCCUCCCCAAGGCACCUAGGAGGUGCCUUCCCCCUUUUGGACUCUUCCUUUCCCUUAUCUCUUGGCGCAUGGGCCUCUUGGGGCUGGUGCCCUUGUCCCAUAUAGGCCAAGGCGCACACCCCUACAGCCCAUGUGGCCCCCCAGGGCAGGUGGACCCCCUUGGUGGACCCCCGGACCCCUUUCGGCAUUCCCGGUACAAUACCGAUAAUGCGCGAAACUUUUCCGGCGACCAAAACAAGACUUCCCAUAUAUAAAUCUUUACCUCCGGACCAUUCCGGAACUCCUCGUGACGUCCGGGAUCUUAUCCAGGACUCCGAACAACUUUCGGGUUACCGCAUACUAAUAUCUCUAUAACCCUAGCGUCACCGAACCUUAAGUGUGUAGACCCUACGGGUUCGGGAGACACGUAGACAUGACCGAGACGACUCUCCGGCCAAUAACCAACAGCGGGAUCUGGAUACCCAUGUUGGAUCCCACAUGCUCCUCGAUGAUCUCAUCGGAUGAACCACGAUGUCAAGGAUUCAAUCAAUCCCACAUACAAUUCCCUUCGUCAAUCGGUAUGUUACUUGCCCGAGAUUCGAUCGUCGGUAUCCCAAUACCUUGUUCAAUCUCGUUACCGGCAAGUCACUUUACUCGUACCGUAAUGCAUGAUACCGUGACCAGACACUUGAUCACUUUGAGCUCAUUAUGAUGAUGCAUUACCGAGUGGGCCCAGUGAUACCUCUUCGUCAUACGGAGUGACAAAUCCCAGUCUUGAUCCGUGUCAACCCAACAAACACUUUCGGAGAUACCCGUAGUAUACCUUUAUAGUCACCCAGUUACGUUGUGAUGUUUGGUACACCCAAAGCACUCCUACGGUAUCCGGGAGUUACACGAUCUCAUGGUCUAAGGAAAGGAUACUUGACAUUGGAAAAACUCUAGCAAACGAACUAUACGAUCUUAUGCUAUGUAUAGGAUUGGGUCUUGUCCAUCACAUCAUUCUCCUAAUGAUGUGAUCUCGUUAUCAAUGACAUCCAAUGUCCAUAGUCAGGAAACCAUGACUAUCUAUUGAUCAACGAGCUAGUCAACUAGAGGCUUACUAGGGACAUGUUGGUGUCUAUUAUUCACACAUGUAUUACGAUUUCCGGAUAACACAAUUAUAGCAUGAAUAAAGACAAUUAUCAUGAACAAGUAAAUAUAAUAAUAAUGCUUUUAUUAUUGCCUCUAGGGCAUAUUUCCAACAUGAAUAUAGCCUUCCAAUAUAUCGAUCUUUACGUCUUGAACAUUUUGGGACUCCUCGUCAUGUCCCUGAUCUCAUUCGGGACUCCGAACAACCUUCGGUACAUCAAAACACAUAAACUCAUAAUAUCGAUCGUCACCGACCGUUAAGCGUGCGGACCCUACGGGUUCGAGAACUAUGUAGACAUGACCGAGACUCGUCUCAGGUCAAUAACCAAUAGCGGAACCUGGAUACUCAUAUUGGUUCCUACAUAUUGUACGAAGAUCUUUAUCAGUCAAACCGCAUAACAACAUAUGUUGUUCCUUUUGUCAUCGGUAUGUUACUUGCCCGAGAUUCGAUCGUCGGUAUCUCAAUACCUAGUUCAAUCUCGUUGUGGCAAGUCUCUUUACUCGUUCCGUAAUGCAUCAUCACGCAACUAACUCAUUAGUCACAAUGCUUGCAAGGCUUAUAGUGAUGUGCAUUACCGAGAGGGCCUAGAGAUACCUCUUUGAUACUCGGAGUGACAAAUCAUAAUCUCGAUCUAUGCCAACUCAACAAACACCAUUGGAGACACCUGUAGAGCACCUUUAUAAUCACCUAGUUACAUUGUGACGUUUGGUAGCACACAAAGUGUUCCUCCGGUAUUCGGGAGUUGCAUAAUCUCAUAGUCAUAGGAACAUGUAUAAGUCAUGAAGAAAGCAAUAGCAACAAACUAAAUGAUCAUCGUGCUAAGCUAACAGAUGGGUCAAGUCAAUCACAUCAUUCUCUAAUGAUGUGAUCCCGUUAAUCAAAUGACAACUCAUGUCUAUGGCUAGGAAACUUAACCAUCUUUGAUUCAACGAGCUAGUCAAGUAGAGGCAUACUAGUGACACUCUGUUUGUCUAUGUAUUCACACAUGUACUAAGUUUUCGGUUAAUACAAUUCUAGCAUGAAAAAUAAACAUUUAUCAUGAUAUAAGGAAAUAUAAAUAACAACUUUAUUAUUGCCUCUAGCAUAUUUCCUUCACUUUGUUCAUAACGAUCAUCUCUACUCAUUCUCUCUCUUGGAGGUGAUUCAUCUCUUCUACUUCUCCUUUUUGGUGAGUCUUCUAUUUUCUUGUAGGGAGUUGUACACUCAUUGGAGUAGUGUCCGGGUCUUCCACAAUUGUAGCAAUUACGAUCACGACUAGAAGAUCUUUUGCCAUUGCAGGACCUUGACUUGGAGUUUCUCCCUUUGCUUCCAUUCUUGUAGAAUUUGUUGAAGUUCUUCACCAUUAAGCUCAAUUCUUCAUUGGAGACUUGCUUCUCACUUGAUGUUGUAGGGGCAUCACUUGAGGCUUUGUAAGCGCCACUUGACUUAUUGUGAAGCUCUUCCUUGUCCAUGAGUGACAUCUCAUGAGCAACAAUUCUACCAAGGACUUUUGUAGGCUUGAGAUCUUUGUAAUUGGGCAUCAUUUGGAUCAAGGUGCACACGGUAUCAUAUUUUCCAUCCAAGGCUCUAAGGAUCUUUUUGAUGAUGAAUUUGUUGGUCAUCUCUUCACUUCCUAAGCCGGCAAUCUCAUUUGUGAUGAGAGCAAACCUAGAGUACCUUUCCGCGACCCCUUCACCAUCCUUCAUAUUGAACUCAUCAAGUUGACUUUGAAGCACAUCCAACUUGGAUUCCUUGAUGGACUCGGUACCUUCGUGUAUAUCAACCAAAGUAUCCCAAACUUUCUUUGCAUUCUCAAGGCGGCUGAUUUUGUUGAGUUCUUCGGGGCACAAUCCAUUGAAGAGAAUAUUGCAAGCUUGAGCAUUGUAUUGCAACAUCUUCAUUUCUUCCACUUUCACGUCAUGAUCUGGUUAUUUACCAUCCUCUAAGAAAUCACCUUGCAAGCCAAUACGCACAACAACCCAAACGACGGGGUUAUGACCAAGAAUAUGAAUUUUCAUCUUAUGCUUCCAACAAGCAAAAUUUGUACCAUGAAAAUAAGGACCUCUACAGUGGUAAUUUCCCUCGCUAGAUGCCAUACUCUUCUAGGUUGUGAAACCAAGGCUGUGAUCACCAAAGCUCUGAUACCACUUGUAGGAUCGAAAAUAUGUCUAGAGGGGGUGAUUAGACUACUUGACCAAAUAAAAAUCUAUCAUUUUCCCAAUUUUAGUUGUGGGCAGAUUUUAGCAAUUAGCACAAGUCAAGCAAUUAACCUACACAUGCAAUUCUAAGAGUAUAGUAGCGGAAAGUAAAACAUUGCAUAUGAAGGUAAAGGGAAGGGUUCAGAGAAGGCGAACGCAAUGGAGACACGGAGAUUUUUGGUAUGGUUCUGAAUUCCGAUAGGUGGUGCUAUCGUACGUCCAUGUUGAUGGAGACUUCAACCCAUGAAGGGUAAUAGUUGCGCGAGUCCACAGAGGGCUCCACCCACGAAGAAGCAACCUUGUCUAUGCCACCAUGGCCAUCGUCCAUGAAGGAUUUGCCUCACUCGGGUAGAUCUUCAUGAAGUAGGCGACCUCCUUGCCCUUACAAACUUAUUGGUUCAACUCCACAUCACAACGGAGGCUCCCAAGCGACACCUAACCAAUCUAGGAGACGCCACUCUACAAAAGGUAAUAGAUGGUGUGUAGAUGAUGAAAUCCUUGCUCUUGUGCUUCAAAUGAUAGUCUCCCCAACACUCAACUCUCCCUAUCAGAUUUGUCUAUGGUGGAAGAGAGAUUUAAGUGGAAAGCAACUUGGGGAAGGCUAGAAAUCAAGGUUCAAAAGGUUGGAUUGGAACCUCUUGACCUCAACACAUGAGUAGGUGGCUCUUUCUCAGAAAAUGAUGGUGGAAGUGUAGGCAUGUUCUAAUGGCUCUCUCACAAAUGGAGAAGGGGUGGAGGGGUAUAUAUAGCCUCCACACAAAAUCCAACCAUUACACACAUUUGACUCAUCUCGGUGGCACCGAAUAGUUAAACUCGAUGGCAUUGAUCAGUUAAAAAAUGUGAACAUUAGGAAUCUCGGUGGGACCGACUAGAACAACUCAGUGGGACCGAUGUCCUAUGGCUUAGGGCAAACAUCAUUUCGAUGGCGCCGAUUGCAACAACUCGGUGGGACCGAAGUGAAGCAAUAAGCAACAGAGAAUCUAUCAAGCCAACUCGGUGAGACCGAUUGCAUAAACUCGACGAGACCGAAGCAAAUACAAUAGAUCACAGAGCGCUGGCAAGGCCAUCUCGGUGAGACCGAGAUUCGUAUUUGUGUGACCGAACUGUUAGGAUUUCUAGCAGUGGCUAUGUCAUAUGAACUCGAUGGCUCCAUAUAGAAAGAAUCGGCGGGGCCGAGUUUGGAUUUAAGUUUUGGACAUAUUUGGAUGGAGAAAGUGGCUGAGAGUUUUGGAGCAAUAUCACUAAGCAUUUGAGCAAAUAGACCAUUAAGCAACACCUCUUCCCAUUUUAAUAGUAUUGGCUUUCAUAUGGACUCAAUGUGAUCUUCGAUCACUAAAAUAGAAAUGAAGAGUCUUGAGCUUUUGCCAAUCUUUGUCCUUAUCAUUUUGAGGGUUCCAUAUCUCUAUGCCAUGCCAAUCAUUAAACUUUCUGAAAUAUUUAUCUUGAGUGGAUAUUAGUUCAAUGAGAUAUAUGUUGUUAUGAAUUACCAAAAUCACCUGAGGAUUAGUUGCACUUUCAGCCGGGUCUCGUCACAAGGUCGCCGACGCCCAGAUGUGCAUGCGCAAUCACGUCUUCGUCUACCACUACUGUGUGGCCACAAGUCCUUGCGAGCAUUUCACCAGGUUUGUCAACGGCCCCCACUACAUGUUCACUACAGUGGACAUCACCAACGAUGUAAAGGUGUUCAAGAAUUCGGGCAUCGCCUGCCAGAAUCUUGUCGACAUACAGGGCCAACACAAGAUCUGGGGCAGCAAGACGCAUGAGAAGGACUCACUGGUUCACCUCGCCGAGGCCAUCGUCGACCCUACUAUAGAGACAUGAAGGAUUCCUGCAACAAGGACAAAGCGUGCCUGCACUUGGCCUGGAUGGAGAAACUCGACAAAGCUCAUGUUCUGUACGCGACCAAGGAGACAUAUAUGAGGUACGAGAUGUAUAGGCAGAUCGUUGACAUGAGGAAGUGCCUCCUUCCCCCAAAUGGGGAUCCAGCCGAAAGCAUAGCAAUGGAAAACGUUGUCACAAUAAGAAGUAGAUAAUUAGAUGAUCAUUUCUCCUAGUUUAGUAUGCAUGUAAUUGUUUACUUUGGUGUGUGAAAAUGUUAUGUGUGUAGUCACUUAUGUGAUUGUAUGUUUAAUUUGGUUAUGCAGUCAUGUUCUUAUAAGUAUAUAUGUUGUUCUUCUGUAGACAGAGCGUAGAUGUUGUGCGGACAGAGCAAAUCACAUCACACACGGACUAAACUAGGGAAGUCAUCGGUGAUUAUUUCAUCAAUCGCUGAAAAUUGUAUACCAGCAAGAUUUGCCCACAACACACACGGCUUGUUAGCAGGAAUCGUCUUCGUUGUUAUAUGUCUUCCCACACAUUUUUGAUUACUGACCCGUUUGCCGCAUAUCACACACAUCUUGUUAACUUGAAAGGAUCGAUAUGGUUGACUAGAGGGGGUGAAUAGGCAACUAACAAUUUUUAACUUUUCUUUACCAAAUUAAACAUUGCAUCAAAGUAGGUUGUCUAGACAUUCAACUAGGUGAGCAACCUAUAUGAUGCAACAACAACAAGCACACAAGCAAGCAAGGGAAGAAACACAAAUAAGCUUGCACAAGUAAAGGUACGAGAUAACCAAGAGUGGAGCCAGUGAAGACGAGGAUGUGUUACCGAAGUUCCUUCCUUUUGAGGGGAAGUACGUCUCCGUUGGAGCGGUGUGGAGGCACGAUGCUCCCCAAGAAGCCACUAGGGCCACCGUAUUCUCCUCACGCCCUCACACAAUGUGAGAUGUCGUGAUUCCACUAUUGGUGCCCUUGGAGGCGGCGAUCGGACCUUUACAAACAAGGUUGGGGCAAUCUCCACAACUUAAUCGGAGGCUCCCAACAACACCACGAAGCUUCACCACAAUGGACAAUGGCUCCAUGGUGACCUCAACCGUCUAGGGUGCUCAAACACCCAAGAGUAACAAGAUCCGCUAGGGAUUAGUGAGGGAAUCAAAUUUCUCUUGGCGGAAGUGUAGAUCGGGGCCUUCUCAACCAAUCCCGAGCAAAUCAACAAGUUUGAUUGGCUAGGGAGAGAGAUCGGGUGAAAAUGGAGCUUGGAGCAUUAAUGGAGCUUUUGGGGGAAGAGGUAAGUCAACUUUGGGGAAGAAGACCCCCUUAUAUAGUGGGGGAAACAAUCCAACCGUUACCCCCCUGAACAGCCCCGCAAAGGGCGGUACUACCGCUGAGGGCCGCGUUACUAUCACUGGGACUGCGGUACUACCGCUCCCCCACGCGGUACUGCCGUUCAGACCCCUGUGCGGUACUACUGCGGUGGUAGGGCGGUACUACCACUCUCGAGCGGCACUACCACAUCUAUUGACGUUGCUUAGUGCCACACAAUCCGACACAAGAGGCGACCCCCUCGAAUCGACGCGGUAGGAGCCCGGUGCCGCAGCGGUAUUACAGCGAGGACCCACAGGCGGUACUGCUGCGGUUGGGAGCGGUACUACCGCCUGUGGCUCUUGAGCGGUACUACCGCUGGGAACCGUGGUACUACCGUUGGGACCCAAAACAAGCACAAAGGAAGGGGAAUGAGCUCUCCAUUGAAGCGGAAAGGCUCAGAGGGUGUGAAAAAGGAUGUGUACGUGUUGAUUCCACCCUAGCCUUACCAAAGCGGACCCCCUCUUGAUAGUACGGUGCCUCCUACGAAACUAGUCCACCAAAAUAGAAAUGAAAGAGCUACACCGUCUUGAAUAACACUCCGAGGGGAAAGAAAUCAUCUCGUGCCAAAGGAUGAAACUCUGAAAUGCACAAAGCACACGAUUAGUCUGCAAACAUGUUGUCAUCAAUCACCAAAACUACAUCGAGAGAGAUAUGCCUUAACAAUCUCCCCCUUUUUGGUGGAUUGAUGGCAACCAGGGAUUUGCACAAAGAUAAGACAAGAAAGUAAAGAUACUUAGAACUACAAAAUAUAGACGGGCUCCACCUGAAUGUGUGCACCUAGUUAGUAGUGCCUUUGGAAUGCAAGACACACACAUUAGGAUCAACACUCCCCCUAUAUUUGAUAGUCCAACAUCCUAAGCAAAGGAUACAUGAGAGCAGGGUAUAUAACAGGAUAAUCAUGCAACUCAUAAGAUACUAAAGUACCAGAAAGACAUAGAUAAAGAUAAGGUAAGGAUAAGGUAGCAUAUGUCUCACACCAUAUGUCUGGAACUUAGGUCUCACGGGCACAACACCAAACAACGCAAAUGGCGAGAAAACACAACGACACCACAAACCAAACCACAAAGACACACUCACAACUAGGCAACGACACAAAUCCCUAAACUCUCCCCCCUUUGGCAUCGAGACACCAAAAGAGCAAAGAGCGUUGCUACGGCUCCAGGUGAUAGCAAGCAGAGGAUCUCAAACAUCACAUCUCAGCAGGAUCGUCUGCACCGCCAUUAUCGGUCGGAAACUGCUCGGCGUUUGAAUCGGUCCACGGGCAAUGCUGCUGAACCCACUCCUCCUAAUCAGUGAUCCUCUCCUCAGAUCCGCUAUUAAUAGUGGCACCCAACUGUCACAUGAGCUCCUUGUGACGUCUGCGGGCCUUCUUCUCAGAGACAUGAGACAUGUACUGGCCAUGAGACUCCAUGCAGAAAAGUUUCUUCAUAUUGCGCUUAAUCCUCUUAGCCCAUGAGGGCUCCACACCGGAGGGCUCAUAGUCCUCAUCCUUGUCGGCCUCAGCCUCGUCCUCAGUCUCCAUGUCAGCCUCAUAAGCCAGAUUGAGGGGCCUGGGUGCCCCAAUUGUCCUUCUUCCUUAGACGCUUGAUCUCAUGAGAAAUCAACUCUCCAGUUUCUAGCACAGCCCUGGGAUAGUGAUGUGCCCAUGCCUUCUCAAUGAGAAGCAUGAUGAAAGGACCAUAGAUCGGGCACUUGCGCUCAGAAAUGGCAGAAAGAAGUUCAGACCACAUAACAUGAGAAAUGUCCAGGGACUCUCCAGUGUUUGCUUCCUUCUCAUGCUGGUAGAAGAGAAGCAUGUCCACGAGAUAGGAGUGGACCAUAUCCAGAUUCCCAAUGCGAGGGAAAAGAGUCUCUCGAAAGAUGCGAUGAAGGAUUUCUAGAAAGGCAGGCAGCUCAUAGGUUACCUUCUUAGUCUUGGGGUUAACCUUCUUAGAACAGUAGGACCAGGGGGCUUGCUUGUGAGUGGAGGUGACAUUGCGGUGAGGGCGGAAGCCGACUGGAUUCUCAAGCCCGAGAUCUUCCACCCCAAGUGAGCACCCUGCCAUUCGUCAUCCAAGUCAGAGUCCUUUCUUCAUUAGUUCCAAGAUGGACAGUGGCAUAGAAUUGACAUAUCAAAUUUGCAUCAAAGUCCUUGUUGAACUGCAUGAUUCUGAGAAUGUUCAACUGAGAGCACAUCUGAAGGGCUUCGCCAAAGUACUCAGGGUCCUUUUCCAUAGGAUCAGUGUCGAUGGAACAAACAUCAACAUAGUGAUUCUUCUUAGCCUUGAUCACAUCGAAGAAGAUGGCGAACUGAAAGCGGUUCCAGAAUGGGCGGUUGACCAAAGUGGGAUCUUGGUCUUCCUCAUAGGUGUUGCGGUGAUGCCUUGCCCAAAAUUCCUUGGCAGACAUCUUAGACAUAGUCUUUCCCUUUGGCUUGUUGGCCGAUCUCUUCGUGAGCUGAGGCGGUGGUGGAGCACUUGAGGAAGCACCCGCUGGCGGCGGUGGAGCACUUGAGGAACCACCUGUUGACUCAGAUGUGCGGUAGCGCUUUGAUGUUGCACGACCGGGGUUGACACGACAGACCUGCUGCUUAGGAUGAUCAUCACCUAGAACCAAACACACGACUAGAAGAAACAACAUGAAAGAAAGAGCAUAAGCCACCAAACAAAACAACAUGGAUCAAAAUGUGGUAGGAAAUGAUGGAACUGGGCAUCCAGCGGUAGUACCGCGACCCAACCGCGGCAGCACCGCUCGCGCGGUAGUACCGCUCAAGAUGGGCGGUAGUACUGCUCAAGACGGGGAACGGCAGUUCCCUACUGCCGUGGACAGAUCCGGCACUAUCGGAGAUGCCAAAUUCAAAAAUAAGCCUACCAAACAUCAAUCCAAAGGGACUAGAAGCCAUCUCCAUCCUACUCAAGCCUCGACUUAGCCAAAAGACGAGAAAAACAAUGCCUAUUGCCCCUAAAAACUAGAUGCAAGAUCUAGGCAAGGAGAGAAUGGGAGUGGGGGCAAUACCGGCAUCCAUGGCUAGAGGACGUGGUGGGAAUUGACUCCACCGGAGGAAAUGGAGAGGGACGGCAUGAAAACGGCGGCCAGACGAGGCCCUCCUGCGGCGAGACGUCGCUAAAGCGACGAGGAAGAUGAGCGAGUGGGGGCGAAUGUGUAUGGGGGAGAAAACAACUCCCCCCGCCCCAACAUAACCCCCCAUCGCCCGCCCCGCAGCGGUAGUACCACUGGGGUGGGCGGUAGUACCGCUUGACGCUUAUCAACGGUGGUACCGUGCACGCAGCAGUAGUACCCUCAGCCGCAAAAAGGACAAGCCAAAAGGCUUAGCUCAAGAAAAGAAACCGAGACGAAAGCGAUAAGAAACACACACACACACACAAAACCAACCAAAAGAACGAAAAACACACACCUUUCCAAGAGAGGGCGGUUGCCGAGGCCACCUAUGUUUGAGUUCAGAGGUAUGGCGCCGCGAAGAUUUUAACCUUGGGCCCAUGACCAACACUCACCUUUAACGCACAAGUACCAUAAAAAAGGCUAAUGUGAAAGAGUUUGAUUAGUUUAUGCAUUAUGGGGGGGGGGAGAGUUCAUUGAGAGAACAACACUCCCCCUAUGUCCAUGCCUACACCUAAACUAGACAACAAGUUGAGUGUGGAGGGGUGUGCAAGGGUUCAAGUCACAUUACUCGAAUCAAUGAUAUUUAGCUCAUGCCUUAACUCGCGAAAUCUUGCUUCAUCCAGGGGCUUCGUGAAGAUAUCCGCAAGGUUAUCAAGAGUGUUGACAUAGUUGAGCUCGAUAUCCCCUCGCCUAAUAUGAUCCCUGAUGAAGUGAUACCGAAUCUCAAUAUGCUUCAUCUUGAAGUGUUGCACCGGGUUGAGAGAAAUCUUGAUUGCACUUUCAUUGUCACACCAGAGAGGCACUUUGUCACAAAUGACACCGUAAUCCUUUAAAGUUUACCUCAUCCAUAAAAGUUGUGCACAACAACUACCGGCAGACACAUACUCCGCUUCCGUGGAUGAGAGAGACACGCAACUUUGCUUCUUGGAAGACCAACUCGCCAAAGAGCAACCAAGAAAUUUGCACCCUCUGGAAGUGGACUUCCUAUCCACUUUGUCUCCCGCCCAAUCCGAGUCCGAAUAACCUACAAGCUUGAAGUUUGCUCCUCUUGGGUACCAUAAGCCAAAGUUUUGGGUAUGAGCCAAAUAUCGAAAGAUUCACUUGACCGCCACAAAGUGACUUUCCUUAGGUGCGGCUUGAAACCACGCACAAAUUCUCACACUCAACAUGAUAUUCGGUCUAGAUGCAAAAAGGUAAAGCAAGGAGCUAACCAUGGAGCAAUAUACCUUUUGAUCCACCGCUUUACCAUUGGGAUCAAUGUCAAGUUGGCACUUAGCGGGCAUGGGAGUGGAAGCCGGCUUGACAUCACUUAUCUUGAAUCUCUUGAGCAUGUCUUGAGUGUAUUUGGCUUGGUUGAUGAAGGUUCCUUCUCUCCGUUGCUUCACUUCGAACCUGAGAAAGAACUUCAACUCUCCCAUGGAAGACAUCUCAAACUUUGAGGUCAUGAGAGCGGCAAAUUCCUCAUUGAAAACUUUGUUAGGGGAACCAAAGAUAAUAUCAUCAACAUAUAAUUGGCACACAAACAACUCCCCUUUGACCUUCUUAGUAAAAAGAGUGGGGUCGAUUAGCCCAACUUCAAAACCACAGUCUUGUAACAACUCGGUAAGGUGGUCAUACCACGCACGUGGGGCUUGUUUAAGGCCAUAGAGUGCCUUAUCAAGUUGAUACACAUGAUCGGGAAAGUAGGGAUCCUCGAACCCGGGGGGUUGCUUGACACAUACCAAUUCAAUAAUAGGACCAUUAAGAAAAGCACUCUUCACAUCCAUUUGUUGUAACUUAAAGCUAUGAUGAGAAGCAUAUGCAAUCAACAUGCGAAUGGAUUCAAGACGAGCAACGGGAGCAAAGGUUUCACCGUAGUCGAUACCCUCGACUUGGGAGUAGCCUUGUGCUACCAAACGAGCCUUGUUGCGAAUGAUAAUCCCAUGAGCAUCUUGCUUGUUCUUGAAUAUCCACUUGGUUCCAAUGACAUUGUGGUUCCCCGUUGGCCUUGGCACCAAUCUCCACACUUUGUUGCGUUCGAAGUUGUUGAGUUCUUCAUGCAUGGCAUUGAGCCAAUCCGGAUCUUCGAGCGCCUCAUAGACCUUUUUGGGUUCAACACACGAGACAAACACGUGAUGUUCACAAUAGUUUGCUAAUUGUCUAUGAGUGUUUACCCCCUUUCUUAAGCUUCCAAGCACAUUUGUCAUGAGAUGAUCCUUGAUGAAGAGCUUGGAAGCAAUCUUGGCGGCACGACACUCCAAUUCCUCCUCGAGGGUGAGACGAGGAGUGGUCACUUGAUCAUCUUAAGCGCCAUCUUGAGCUUGUUCUUGAUCUCGAGGAAGCUCUUGAUCUUGAACUUGCUCAGAGGAGAGAACUUGACCUUGGGCAUCACUUGAUGUUACAACACCAUCUUGAGAUUGACCUUGCCCUUGGUCUUGUUCUUGAGGUUGAGGGCCUUCACUUUGUUCUUCGGAAGCGUGUGGACCUUGGGUUGGUGAUGGCUCCACAAGAGUGGAGCAUUGUCCUUCUCCUUCGGCCAAAAGGGAUUCCUCAAUGGGUAGGAUAAAACCAACACCCAUUCUUCUUAUGGCUUGGGGAGGAAUUUCAUCACCUACAUCACAAGUGCCACUUUGCUCCACUUGGGAGCCGUUAUUCUCAUCAAACUCCACGUUACAUGUCUCCUCAAUAAGUCCCGUGGACUUAUUAAGGACACGGUAAGCAUGGUAGUUCGUAGCAUAACCAACAAAUAUGCCCUCAUGAGCUCUAGCCUCAAAGUUAGACAAACGAACACCUUUCUUGAGAAUGGAACACUUACACCCGAACACCCGAAAGUACUUGAGGUUGGGCUUGUUCCCGGUGAGUAUCUCAUAUGGAUUCUUGUUCAAGCCUUUGCGGAGGUAGAGACGAUUUGAUGCAUGACACGCGGUGUUGAUGGCUUCGGCCCAAAAGUUGUAUGGAGACUUGAACUCUGCCAUCAUGGUCCUUGCCGCAUCCAUCAACGCCCGGUUCUUCCUCUCUGCUACACCAUUUUGUUGAGGGGUGUAUGGUGCAGAAUAUUGAUGCUGUCGGAUUUCGGGUUCCGGCAGACCCUUGAGGUUCGAACACUGGGGUGCGCGCAGAGAUUUCGCCUCCUACCUACCUGCACCCCCCGCCUUGCCAGGAUCUAAACUAUGGAAAGGACAACACAAGAGACACAGGGUUUAUACUGGUUCGGGCCACCAUUGCGGUGUAAUCCCCUACUCAAGUGUGUGGUGUGGUGGAUUGCCUCUUGGGCUAAUGAUGAAGAACCAUACAAGAAAGAACAGCCUCGCGAGGGUCUGUUCUUGGUUGGGGCGAUCAACUGCUGGGAGGAGCUCAGUCACCCUUCUCUCUCUCUCUCUCUCUCUCUCUCUCUCUCUCUCUCUCUUUCUGAUCUUCUCUAUCCUUCCAAACCCUCGGCCCCCUUUGCUCUGUGCGUGGCUGGUCCUAUUUAUAGAGGCCCUGGUCCUCUUCCCAAAUAUCGAGCGGGAAGGGAGCCAACAAUGGCGGGCUAAUUUGAAGGGGGACAGCUAGUACUAGCUACCUGACAAAAGUAGUCUUCGCCUGCGCAAAGCUCUGGUGAUGACGCCGUCUUGGGCUCCACGAUGACCUCCAUCUCGUAGUCCUCCUGGUCUUGGUCUCGUUGCACCGAAAUGGCAACCUUUGCCUGAUGCCUCGGUACUCCGCGGCUACGCUUGCCCCCUUUGCACCAAAGAGGAAGGAAAGACGAUGCGUGGGCUGGCACCCGCCUGGCGCCCCCGGUCGUCAUGGCUUGCGUCACGGGCACCUCGUGAGAUACCCGACCUUGAUCUCUCUGCCUCCUCGUGAGCCAGCCUGACGAGGCCGCGCUUGAGGAAGCUCCGUGUCGUCCGCCCCGCGAGGCUUGGCCCCUCGCGAGGGUCUUGGGUUUGUGUUGGUGAAGAUGGGCCGCGCUGGGCCCCCCUUUGAGCCACGCCGCAGGCCGUAGGCAGGCAAGUCUGGGGACCCCCGUUCCCAGAAUGCCGACAGUAGCCCCGGGGCCCAAGGCGCGCCCGGACUUGGUCGUGCAGGGAGGCAGAAGGGCAAGAGUGAAGCGCCACGGGCCCUAACAGCCUGUGGCCUUGGGCGCCGCAUGGCAGUUGGUUGGACAUGGGCGCCUGCACUUCCCCAUGGCACCUCGGCAACUGCACGGAUUGGACAAGUCCCUGCAUGCAAAGUGGGUCAUGAUUACCUACAAUCGUGGAGGUCGGCGGUUGGCCCUCGCCGGCCGUAAGUAAGGAACAGCGCGCGCCCUUCCAGUCCAUCUCCCCUUGCUUCUCCUUCUUCCUGAUCCUUGCUCCGUCUUAUUGCGAUGGAUCCGAUCCGCUGGUUCUUGACGGCAGAGAAGGGAAAGGCUCCCCGAUAGGAACCAGACCCACUCCCGCCGAAGAAACGGCUCAUCCCCCGUGGCCCGGACGAAGGGGCCCUUCAGGUGGUGUCGAGGCCUUGGUGCGAGCAGGUGCCGCCGGGGUUCCCGCUGCCAUUGUACGCCCACGUCAAGGGCCCCGAAGGAGCUGAUGCUGACCGCCAUGGGCGGCGCCGCCGUCGGCGCCGACGGGUCACGAAGGUGUGGGUCGUCCCCCCUGGGGUCCACACCGAGGGCUUCGCCCGAGAGUUCGUGCUUCACGUCGCCAUUCCUCUUCAGUCUUGGAUUCGCCUUCCUUCCUUCUUCGCCUCCAUCAUCCCGCAGGGGGAGCCCCUGGAGCUCUGGCUGCAGCACGCCGGCUGCAGCACCCUCGCGACCGAGGCAGAGGUUGCGGUCGUUGCCCCGGGCAAGGUCUACAUGACUCGGGGCUGGAGAGAGAUCGCCCGGGUUUGCAGGGUAAGGGGCGUCUUUGCGGUCCACUUGGAUUACGACGGUGCUUCGGUGAUGCUCUUCAAGGUCUUCGGUGCGAGCGGGUGCCGGCUGGAGUGCUGCCCCGGGGAAGGUGGCCAGGUCCCUGCCGCGACGAGGACUAGGCCCGCCAACCGCCCCCUUGGCGGCUCCUCAGGUGGUGGAGGCGUCGGAGGUUCCAGCGACUCCGGCAAGCUCUCCGCGACUCCGGAGACGAGCGAUGAUAGCUACGAGCCCCCGAGCCGGCGCCGCUCCUGGAGUAGGGCAGGCUCGUCAGGCCGCCACCGACCCUGAUCUGGAUGGGGUUGGCUUCGGUGCUUGACAGCCCACUGUUGAUGAUGGCGUCUUUUGCUGGGACGCGCGUAGUUUGUGUCCCUUUAGGAUCUGUUCCCUGCGAGGAAUCAAAAACGCGUCCCGUGGGGGCUUGCAAGGUGCUUGUGAUCCUGUUUUGUUAAUAUAACCCUUGUCGUAGAAUUGCGCGAGUUGCUCAUUCCGUCUUAGCUCAGUCCUCCCUUUCGAGCCUCACGAGAGCUUGGUGCUCUGCGCCGACAGGUCCCAGUCCCAAGGCGGCUUCAGCCGUCGCUGGUAUGCUAGGUCGUGAUGCCGUGGUCAAGGCCAGGAGGUGAGCGACCCGGAGUCCGGUAAGAGCCCCUGAGUCGCGAUGCUUAGGAGGUCCCCUUUGGCCCCCAAGCAGCCGCCGUUUGGUGAGAAAGGAGAGCGGCGUCGCUAACACGGGGUAGCAUUAGGUGCGGGGAUGGUGCCACGGCAGCUGGUGCUUCCGGGUGAUGACUUAUCUCGAGGAUCAGGGGCCGCUCUCUGGUGUGUCGCCGGGUCCUUGCAUCGGCACGCGCGAGGUUGCUCGGCGAGGUCCUCGUGUGUCUCUCCCCUCUUGCCUUUGGUCCCCUUUCUGCUCUACGUCCUCGAGUCCCGGCCCUCGAGCGGGUCUCAGCCGUCGCUGGUAUGCCAGGUCGUGAUGCCGUGGUCAAGGCCAGAGGGUGAGGGCUGGAGAGCCAGUAGGAGUCCUGAGUCGUGAUGCUCAGGCACCCCCCCCUUUAACGUGCAAGCGGUUCGCGUGGACGAGAGCGAAGGAGACACCGCGAGGGCCUCGCCUGACGCAGCUCCUUCAGGAGGUCCUGCAGAUCCAUCAUAGAAAAAAACAAGGGGUCGCCAUGACAAUUGACAGUCAGCCGUUGGUUGCUUCCGAGGGGUAGUGAGGCACUGAAGGCUUGACGAGGUGACGCUAUGCGGGGCUGCCGCGGCCAGAGCUCAGCCAUCCAGGUUUGUCGGCGUUGCAGGGACGGACCCAUGCGCAAGCGUCGUGCCAUUUGGGAGCAGCUCCGUUAGUUGGCGUCGGCUGAGCAGGCAACUAGGUAAAACACAUUAGCCGCGAAGGAGUGGAUCCGUUCAGAUAAAUGCUGGGAAUGCGAACAUCACUGGGUCAGGCCCGAGCGACUUGGGGGUCAUGCAGCCCGAGGGGCGCCCCCAACAGGGUAAGUUAACAACAUGGAAUAAAAUGGGAAUACACGCCGCAGGGACGGACCCACGCGGCCUGGGAAUAAUGCAGCCCUGGGGGGCGCUCCUAGCUGGAAAUAAAACUCAAAAGACGUCACUUGAUGAUGUUGAGGAUGAAGGAGCAUUGAUGUAGCAGGCUUGGUGGGCUGCGGGAGCCGAUCCUCAUGAGCCCCCAGACCCAGGGGCCUCGGGAGGCUCCGGAGGCGCUGGCGGCUCCUCACGGGCCAUCUCCAUCCCUGCCAGGGCUGCGGAACGCCCUGCCUCUCGUGCCUCUGUGAUGCUCCUCAUGAGGCGCUGGUACGUGUCAGCCGCGUUCGACAGGCCGCAAGGCAUGCGUACGUAGCUGUGGGGCGGGCCUCCGCAGCGCCCCACUCGCGAGGGCCAGAGGCGCUCCAGAGAGGCGACUCGGUUGAGCCUGGUAUGUCGAUGCAGACGCGCAGCCCACCAUCCUCGCCUGGAUGGGGAGCCACUGCUAGUAGGCGGCGGCCACCUUUCAUGACUCUUGACUCCUGUAGCUCCUGAAUGGCCUUGCUGACGAACUCCUGAGGGUCUGGAUCUCCUUGCCUUGCUCCUUCUUGAGGGAAACAUGCUUCAAAACACGCCUCCAUGUGGUGCCCAAGCACCUCCCUCGUGACCCUAGCUAGGUCGGUGGCCCUCCAGGGGAGAGCCCCCGAGCCCCGCCUGAGGAGGGCGCUGGGCGCGCUUUCCUAUGCGAUGGAAGGAGGUUCCCCCUGGGCAGGCGCGGGCCCAGAGGGGCCUGCCUCCUGAGUGGUCAGGCCGGACGAUGUCUUCUUCUUCUUAGGGGCGGUCUCGGGAGGCCUCCUGCUCCCACGAUCCGGGUCUUCCAGUGACGCGGCCUGAAAGGCCCAUUCCAGGGAACACACCGCGUCAUUCUCUUCACAUGGCACCGCGAUGACUCCGCCGCUUUCUGGCAUCUUGAGGACGCUGUAGCCGUGGUGAGUUACGGCCAUGAACUUGGCCAGCGCUUGGUACCCAAGGAUGGCGUUGUACGGCAGGUGAAUGUGAGCGACGUCGAAGUCGAUGAGCUCGGUGCGGUAGUUGUCGCGUGCCCCGAAGGUGACAGGGAGGCGGACCUGCCCAAUCGGGACCGUGGAGCCGUUGGUGAUACCGGAGAAAGGCUUGGUGACGCAGGCGGAGGAUGAUGUUGCCGCACGGGAAGCCCGCGUCCUGGAGGAGGUCGGACGUCGAGUGGCGAUGGCGCAUUUGAACCUCGAGCACGAGUUUGACGAGAAGCUGGGGUUAAUCCGGGCCAAAGCUGAAGGCAGGACUGCUGCCUUGAGGGCCAAGCUGGAGGAGGCGACGUGGCGGGCCGACACUUUCCGGGCCGCUCUUGAGGUGGUGCAAGGUGAGUUGACCGCUUCCCAGGCUGAGGUGCUCCUUCUCCGCCAGCGGGUGGAGGAGGCUGAUGACGUCGCGGGCCAGAACACGAACGAGAUCCGUCAGCGACAGAUCCUGGAGCAUGAGCACGGCCCCAUGCUAGCCACGCUCCAGGAGAGAGCCAACGCAGCCUUGGGCAACAUCUGCGAGGCGGCCGUUGGCAAGCCGCAUGCAGUCAACUAUACUGGCAAUCUUCAGUUCUUCACUAACGUGGUGACGCAGCUGGAGGCGCGGUCGGUCAGGGCUGACAGGUUGGUGGAGGAGAGGAGCCGCGGCCUGCUUGGGCACGCCUUUUCUUGCGUCUUCAGCCACCUCCAAAACAUGGAUCCCCGCUUCAAUUUUGACGCCGUCAUUGCCCCAGUCCCCCAGGCCGUCCGAGGCGACCUGGCGCGCUGGGUGGAGGACAAUAUGGACGCUCUUAUCAGGGCCUUUGCUUUGGACAAUGACGACACGAUCGUGGCGGCCAUCGAGGGCGGCGUGGUGAACGGCCCUGACGCCGCUGGCGGCGACGCGGACAGUGAUGGCGGGUUCAGCGACGCCAGCAACGGCCCGGGUGGAGCUCCUGAGAACGCAUUGGGGGAUUCAUCCGACUAAUUGUGCAUCUCUCCUACUUCCUUACCCUCCAUGAAUAGAGCUCAUGUUUCGGCCUGAUUGCAGUGAGAGCAUUUUGAAGGGGGGGGGGGCCUUAUGUAAAACUUGUGUUCAUCGUAUUAGUAGACGCGACAUUGCCCAUGCGCCCGCACCAAGUGGUUGGCCCAAGCGACGCGCUGGUCGGCUAGUUUACCUUUGUCCCGUGUUGGCCCUGAGGCAUCCUGUGGGAGGUUAUGGUCUCUUGAGUGUUCCCUGACUGGGUUCGUAGGAUCUGUAGUAAAACACCCUCCUGAGAGGUCACGUCUGCGGCAGUCUGGGCUGCGCGCAAGCUAGGCCUGACCCGGCUCGCGAGGGGCUCGCGAGGGGAGGCAGCUGAGGCGAAGCAGUAACCAAAGCGCGAGAAAUUGCUCGAAUGAGACUAAGAACCCCUUCCCCGAACACACGCAAAUCUCAAAUUCGAAUCCAACUUGAAUCCAGCAGGGGAAAGCGACAACCAAAGGGAAAAGCAACGAAAGCAAACAAAAGGCCGCGUCCGGCACCUAGUCUAGUCUUGGACGUCUUCUCACCAGCGCGGAGCUAAGUGCUGCCACUGGGCGCGGGAGGGAGCCCCAGGGCCUGAGGCCGGCACCCCUGAGACUCUGGGGCGUGUAUAGCCCCACUCAUUAUUACGUGAGAGUGUCACGGGGCGGCGAGCUUUACAGGCACUGGGCCUUCUUCACAGGUACUGGCCUUGCUUCAUAUCGCCAGAUGAGGGCCCCGCCUUGCGCCACACUCUAGUGCCAUCAACGACGACCGGAAACCAGGACGUCGCCGAUGGGGUAUAGCGGUCGCCAGCGGUUCCCCCGAUGACCACGGGUCCUCCGCCGGGGGCAGGCUCCGCGGCACCUCCCCAGCGGAGGGCCUACCUCUUGAGAACACCUUGCUCCGAAUGCCGCGGUGGUGAUGUCGGAUCCCGGCCCUUCUCCUGCAGCCCCCUGCGCCCUCCUCCCGAGGGGCAGGAGACCGUGGGAGCAGGGCAGCUGCUCGCUGUGGCGACCUGCACCUCCUGCGAUCCAUGGUUAGCGUAUACCUGCUCCUGAAGGAUUAGCGGUACCUGAUAACCGUUGCCCCCAGCAUGGCCAGUAGGACCGUCCCGGGGCUCCCGGAAAGGCUCAGCUUCCGACGCCUCGUCCCCCCAGCUUGGGCUGAGGAGCGAGCCUUGCUCGCUCUCGUGUGGGCGUCCUUGGUCCAUCAUGAUGGGCACGUAUUCCUCCGGCGCCGUCAUCCCGAAUGCCACGCCGUAAUGCCCUGCAUGCCACGCGGUCCUGCCUGACGCGCCCACCGUGGGGUGGCAGCAUGGCUGCCCACUGGGGCCGCGGGUCGCGUCGAGUCCUUCUUCUUCGCGGACCGGGAGCGGGGGCAGCGCCGCCGCCGGUCCGGCGCUGACAACUUCACUGGCGUCGGAGUAGCCUUGGAGCCCGCGGGCGCGCGCGGAGCCCCCGCGCGGGCCAUCCUGGGCUUGAGAUGGGAGCUGGGUGGAGAAGGGGUGAGCCCCCGAGGCGGCGAAGCCCAGGAGCUCUGCCACUCGCUCUAGCAACACGUCAUGGCCGUCCUCCAGCAGCCUGCACUGCAGCAGCUCUCGGGCCACUAUGAGCGCGGCCCUCGAGUUCGCCUGCUCCCUGUGAGUGUACAACGUCGUGGUCGCGGCGUGAUUGGAGGCCCUUGCUGCCGACCGCGCCUGCCGCGGCGUGAGAGCUGUCGAAGUCUGUCCGCGUCGCCCGCGGCCCGCAGCGCUCUGCGGACCACGAGCUGCCUGGGGCACGGGGUCGCCCGAGGCAAGCGGCUCUGCGCAGGCGGGCCACGCCGCCCAUGGAUCUGGGUUGCCCGCCUGGUCGCCGGACAUGGUGAUGACGACGCGACGGGGUGCGAAGCGGUAGAAGGUGGACUCCGGUGCAGCCCUACCUGGCGCGCCAAAUGUCGGAUUUCGGGUUCCGGCAGACCCUUGAGGUUCAAACACUGGGGUGCGCGCGAAGAUUUCGCCUCCUACCUACCUGCACCCCCCCCCCCACCUUGCCAGGAUCUAAACUAUGGAAAGGACAACACAAGAGACACAGGGUUUAUACUGGUUCGGGCCACCAUUGUGGUGUAAUACCCUACUCCAGUGUGUGGUGUGGUGGAUUGCCUCUUGGGCUAAUGAUGAAGAACCAUACAAGGAAGAACAGCCUCGCGAGGGUCUGUUCUUGGCUGGGGCGAUGAACUGCUGGGAGGAGCUCAGUCACCCUUCUCUCUCUCUCUUUCUGAUCUUCUCUAUCCUUCCAAACCCUCAGCCCCCUUUGCUCUGUGGGUGGCUGGUCCUAUUUAUAGAGGCCCUGGUCCUCUUCCCAAAUAUCGACGGGAAGGGAGCCAACAAUGGCGGGCUAAUUUGAAGGGGGACAGCUAGUACUAGCUACCCUGACAAAAGUAGUCUUCGCCUGCGCAAAGCUCUGGUGAUGACACCAUCUUGGGCUCCACGGUGACCUCCGUCUCGUAGUCCUCCUGGUCUUGGUCUCGUUGCACCGAAAUGGCAACCUUUGCCUGAUGCCUCGGUACUCCGCGGCUGCACUUGCCCCCUUUGCACCAAAGAGGAAGGAAGGACGCUGCGCGGGCUGGCACCCGCCUGGCGCCCCCGGUCGUCAUGGCUUGCGUCAUGGGCACCUCGUGAGAUACCCGGCCUUGAUCUCUCCGCCUCCUCGUGAGCCAGACUGACGAGGCCGCGCCUGAGGAAGCUCCGUGUCAUCCGCCCCGUGAGGCUUGGCCCUCGCGAGGGUAUUGGGUUUGUGUUGGUGAAGAUGGGCCGCGUUGGGCCCUCCUUUUAGCCACGUCGUAGGUCACAGGCAGGCAAGUCUGGGGACCCCCGUUCCCAGAAUGCUGACAGAUGCUUGAUCCCCUCAUCACUAAGAAACUCAUCCAAGGUGUAGUUCUUGAACUCGGUGCCGUAGUCACUUCUUAUCGUCAAGAUCUUUGCAUUGUGUUGACGUUGAGCCUCAUUUGCAAAGUCGAUGACGGUUUGUUGGGUCUCGCUCUUCCUCUUGAAGAAAUAUACCCAAGUGUAUCUUGAAUAAUCAUCCACAAUCACUAAGCAAUACUUCCUACCCCCAAGACUAUCGAAAGAUGGAGGCCCAAAGAGAUCCAUGUGAAGGAGCUCCAAAGGCCUCUUCGAGAAAAUGAUAGUCGUGGGAGGGUGAGUCUUUUCAUGCAGCUUUCCUUCGAUACAAGCACUGCAAGCACGAUCUUUGGCAAAACUAACAUUUGUUAGUCCAUGGACAUGGUCCCCCUUGAGAAGACUUUGCAAAUAUCUCAUAUUGACAUGGGCAAGACGGCGAUGCCAAAGCCAUCCCACGUCAACUUUAGCCAUUAGGCAUGUUGCGGUCUUAGUGAGUUGCUCCGAAAAGUUGAUCACAUAGAGACCGUUUUCGACAUGCCCAACAAAGGCUACUUUAAGAGUCUUGCUCCACAAGAGGGCCACGGUAUCAACAUCAAAGAAAGUGGCAAAACCCAUGAGUGCUAGUUGACGAACGGAAAGUAAAUUAUAUGCAAGGGACUCAACAAGCAUGACCUUCUCGAUUGUAAGAUCAUGAGAAAUGACAACCUUGCCGAGUCCCAAUACCUUAGAGGAUGAGGCGUCACCCCACUCGAUGUUGGUGGGUAUUGAUGGAAUCUUUUGCACAUCCACCACCAAGUCCUUGCUUCUGGUCAUAUGAUUAGUAGCUCCACUAUCAAGCAACCAUGAACCCCCACCGGAAGCAAACACCUACAAGAGAUCAAUGCUUGCUUUUAGGUACCCAUUUUGUAAUGGGUCCUUUGAUGUUAGUAACAAGGGUCUUAGGAAUCCAAAUAGACCAUUCAAUGUACUCAUAAGGAGAACCAACAAAUUUGGCAUAAACAUGCCCAUCUCUAACACGACACAACACAUAAGAAGGGUUAAAGUCGUCGGCUUUGUUGGGAAGGGAAGUGUUGCCCUUCUUGGCAUCACUACCCCUAACAAUGUUCUUCUCCUUCUCCUUAAUAGCACCUUCUCCCUCCUUCACAGAGGUUUGCUUGAGAGGAGGAGGUCGUUUUCCCUUGUCAUUCUUCUUCUUGUUCUUGGACUUGGGCACGUACCCAAUCUCUUCCUUGGCCAAAACUCCCUUUUGGUUGGUCAAAAGGUCGUUGAGGUUCUUCUCGCCAUGUAUGCAAGACACAAGACCUUUCUCAAGUUGCACCUUUAACUUAGCGUUCUCCUCAACAAGAUGCACAUGCUCACAACAUGGGUUAGUAGCAUUUGCAUUAUCAAUUAACAUCAUACGAGGAAAAGUGGCUUUCUCCUUGGUUAGCUUUACUUGAAGUUGAUCAUGAGACUCUUUGAGGCUAGCAUGAGCACCCUUCAAGACCUUGUGAGCCUUGUCAAGUAGGUCAAACUCCUCUUUGAGUCUAGCAAGAUCAACCCCAAGCUUGGCCUUCUCGGAGUUUAGCACACGAGAAACAACAAGAGCAUGAUCAAAUUCUUUCUUUAACUUAGCGUGAUCAACAUUGUGUGACUCCUCAAGAGCCAAACAAAGACCACGCUCUUCCGCAAGAGCAUUGGAAAGAUCCGAAAUCUCAUCGGCAUAGUCAUGACUAUGCCCCCCCAUCUUGGGGAUAGUAUCUUCGUGAGCCUCGAUCAUGUCAUUAGCUUCACCAAGUUGUUCCAAUAGAGCAACGAAAUGCUUCUUGGAUUUACCCUUGAGUUUACCCAUAAAGGACUCAAACUCAUUUUCCUCCACACUAGAUCCCACAUAUUCAUCAAUGCAAUCCAUCAAGGAAGGAUUAUUAAUGAUGGUAGUUUUGAUGUUGGGGGUUACCUUGUUGGUGGCUUUAUCCAUGAGGCACUUGGCGGUGAUGUUCUCAUUGGGUGAGUCGAAGAGAGACACUCGUGGAGUUGUUGCAAUGGCAACGGAGGCCAUGGCAACCAACUCACCAUCUUCAUCAUCAUCAUCGUCAUGGUACUCUUCUUGAACCACCAACGCCUUGUGAGGGGUCUUCUUGAUGAAGUUGCUCUUGUUUGGGAAAGACUUGGCUUUGUCCUUUCGGAUGAGCUUGCCACCAUUGUCUUCCUUCUUCUCAUACGAGCACUCUGCAACAAAAUGGCUCACAUUGCCACAAUUAUAGCAAGUCCUCACACGUUGCUUGCUCUUCGUGCCACUUGAGUUGUUCUUGUUGAAGUUUGGCCUUGAGUUUUUCUUGCUCCAAAAUUGCCUUGAAGCAAGAGCCAUGUGUUCAUGAUAGGCAUACUUUGUAUCUUCGGGAUUGCUUUCCUCUUAUUCCUCUUCUUCUUCCUCUUCAACACAAACCUUGGCCUUCAAUGCAAGGUUGGGCUUCUUUGCCCUUUGAGAGCGAAGCACCGCAUUGUCGGCGGUCUUGUCCAAGAUGCUCAUAGCCACAAACUCAUCCAACACUUCACUUGAGGACAAGGUGUGGAAGUCCGGCCUUUGAUGAAUGAUGGAGGACAUAGCCUUAUGGUAAGGCAUCAUUGCCUUGAGAAAUUUGCGCUUGAUCCAAUUGUCAUCUGUGUCCUUGCUCCCAUGAUCUCGGAGUGUUUGGUUACUCUUCGAUAAAGCUCACGAGGUUCUUCAUCUUCCUUCAUUGCAAACUCAUCAGCUUCAUCUUGCACCACUUCAUAGUUGGAGCGUUGAAUGCUUGCCUUCCCCAGUAGAGAGAAACAACUUGGUGCUUCUUGGAUUUACCCUUGAGUUUAUCCAUAAAGGACUCAAACUCAUUUUCCUCCACACUAGAUCCCUCAUAUUCAUCAAUGCAAUCCAUCAAGGAAGGAUUAUUAAUGAUGAUAGUUUUGAUGUUGGGGGUUACCUUGUUGGUGGCUUUAUCCAUGAGGCACUUGGCGGUGAUGUUCUCAUUGGGUGAGUCGAAGAGAGACACUCGUGGAGUUGUUACAAUGGCAACGGAGGCCAUGGCAACCGACUCACCAUCUUCAUCACCAUCAUCAUCAUCCUCAUGGUACUCUUCUUGAACCACCAACGCCUUGUGAGGGGUCUUCUUGAUGAAGUUGCUCUUGUUUAUGAAAGACUUGGUUUUGUCCUUUAGGAUGAGCUUGCCACCAUUGUCUUCCCUCUUCUCAUACGGGCACUUCGCAACAAAAUGGCUCACAUUGCCACAAUUAUAGCAAGUCCUCACACGUUGCUUGCUCUUCGUGCCACUUGAGUUGUUCUUGUUGAAGUUUGGCCUUGAGUUUUUCUUGCUCCAAAAUUGCCUUGAAGCAAGAGCCAUGUGUUCAUGAUAGGCAUACUUUGUAUCUUCGGGGUUGCUUUCCUCUUCUUCCUCUUCUUCUUCCUCUUCAACACAAACCUUGGCCUUCAAUGCAAGGUUGGGCUUCUUUACCCUUUGAGAGCGAAGCACCGCAUUGUCGGAGGUCUUGUCCAAGAUGCUCAUAGCCACAAACUCAUCCAACACUUCGCUUGAGGACAAGGUGUGGAAGUCCGGCCUUUGACGAAUGCCGGAGGACAUAGCCUUAUGGUAAGGCAUCAUUGCCUUGAGAAAUUUGCGCUUGAUCCAAUUGUCAUCCGUGUCCUUGCUCCCAUGAUCUCGGAGUGAAACCGCGAGUUUGGUUACUCUUCAAUAAAGCUCACGAGGUUCUUCAUCUUCCUUCAUUGCAAACUCAUUGGCUUCAUCUUGCACCACUUCGCAGUUGGAGCAUUGAAUGCUUGCGCUUCCCCGAUAGAGAGAAACAACUUGUUGCCAUGCAUCUUUGGCUAUGGCGUAGGGCCGGAGGUGAGGAAGAUCUUCGGGUGGAAUUGCAUCUUGGAUGAUGAAGAGAGCAUUCUCAUUGAAUUGAUUAUCUGUGGCUUCUCUUGGAGUGAAGUUGCUUCGGUCAUGUGGAUAGAAACCUUCUUCAAUGAUUCUCCAAAGAUUAGUAUUCACAUGAUUUAAAUGGUGCUUAAACCGAUAGACCCAAGAAUCAAAAUCCUCAUUUUUCACAAUCUUAGGGGGAGGACCGGCAUGAUUCAAAUGAGUGGAAGGAUCCAGUCCACCAUAAAUAAGUGGUGGUUCCACAUGGGCAAAGAUGUCGGUGCCAUUUUUACCACUAGAAGAAGGAGCCUUUUCACUAGUAGCUUCCCCCUUGUCGGAGUUAGCAUCCGUCACCUUGUCAGUGGGAUCACCCACUUUCAACGGUGUGGUGGAUAGUUUAAGCCCUUCAAUGAAUUUAGUAAACAUGCUUUCAACCUCGGUCGUCAUGGAGGUUUUCAAUGUCUCCAAGGCCACAUUGAAUUCCUCACGAGAGACCGAGGUUCCCCCAUUGCCCGUAGACGAGAUCGGAUUCACAUCGGAGUGCUCCUCCACACCGUCUACGAUGUCCACCAUACUCUUCGGACGGCAAAGUCCUUAGUAAAGUGACGAGGCUCUGAUACCAAUUGAAAGGAUCGAUAUGGUUGACUAGAAGGGGUGAAUAGGCAACUAACAAUUUUUAACUUUUCUUUACCAAAUUAAACUUUGCAUCAAAGUAGGUUGUCUAGACAUGCAACUAGGUGAGCAACCUAUAUGAUGCAACAACAACAAGCACACAAGCAAGCAAGGGAAGAAACACAAAUAAUCUUGCACAAGUAAAGGUACGAGAUAACCAAGAGUGGAGCCGGUGAAGACGAGGAUGUGUUACCGAAGUUCCUUCCUUUUGAGGGGAAGUACGUCUCCGUUGGAGCGGUGUGGAGGCACAAUGCUCCCCAAGAAGCCACUAGGGCCACCGUAUUCUCCUCACGCCCUCACACAAUGCGAGAUGCCGUGAUUCCACUAUUGGUGCCCUUGGAGGCGGCGACCGUACCUUUACAAACAAGGUUGGGGCAAUCUCCACAACUUAGUGGCAGGCUCCCAACAACACCACGAAGCUUCACCACAAUGGACUAUGGCUCUGUGGUGACCUCAACCGUCUAGGGUGCUCAAACACCCAAGAGUAACAAGAUCCGCUAGGGAUUAGUGGGGGAAUCAAAUUUCUCUUGGUGGAAGUGUAGAUCGGGGCCUUCUCAACCAAUCCCGAGCAAAUCAACAAGUUUGAUUGGCUAGGGAGAGAGAUCGGGCGAAAAUGGAGCUUGGAGCAUUAAUGGAGCUUUUGGGGGGAAGAGGUAAGUCAACUUUGGGGAAGAAGACCCCCUUAUAUAGUGGGGGAAACAAUCCAACCGUUACCCCCUUGAACAGCCCCGCAGAGGGCGGUACUACCACUGAGGGCAGCGGUACUAUCGCUCGGACUGCGAUACUACCGCUCCCCCACGCGGUACUUCCGUUCGGACCCCUGCGCGGUACUACCGCUCUCGAGCGGCACUACCGCAUCUAUUGCCGCUGCUUAGUGCCGCACAAUCCGACACAAGAGGUGACCCCCUCGAAUCGGCGCGGUAGGAGCUCGGUGCCGCAGCGGUACUACAGUGAGGACCCACAGGCGGUACUGCCGCGGUUGGGAGCGGUACUGCCGCCUAUGGCUCUUGAGCGGUACUACCGCUGGGAAUCGCGGUACUACUGUUGGGACCCAAAACAAGCACAAAGGAAGGGGAAUGAGCUCUCCAUUGAAGCGGAAAGGCUCAGAGGGUGUGAAAAAGGAUGUGUACGUGUUGAUUCCACCCUAGCCUUAUCAAAGCGGACCCCCUCUUGAUAGUAUGGUGCCUCCUACGAAACUAGUCCACCAAAAUGUAAACGAAAGAGCUACACCGUCUUGAAUAACACUCCGAGGGGAAAGAAAUCGUCUCGUGCCAAAGGAUGAAACUCUGAAAUGCACAAAGCACACGAUUAGUCCGCAAACAUGUUGUCAUCAAUCACCAAAACUACAUCGAGAGAGAUAUGCCUUGACAUAACUUAACCCAUUUUUGUUGUUUUGCCCAUCACAAACAGUUCAUCCGAGUGAGUCGUAUGCCGUCUAUCGCACACACCUUGAUCUGGCUGACCAUUCUUGUUUUCUUGGCUCAUCGCAAACAGUUCAUCCGAGUGAACUAUAUGCCAUUUAUCGCACACAUCAUGAUCUAUCUGACCAUUUCUGUUAUGUUGCCUAAUCACAAACAGUUCAUCUAAGUGAACUAUAUGCCUUAUAUCACACACACCUUCAUCAAGUUGAUCGUUUCUAUUGUUAUGCUUAUCGUAAACAGUACAUUGGAUCAACUAUUUGCCACGUAUCGCGCACGCAGCUCUAGUCGGAAUCGUGUUUGAUGUCUCCGCCAUCACAAACAAAUUGUAUCAUUUUUUACGGGUUUCUUACACCACAGUUUGCUAUUUAUGCAUCGCACAUAGUUUCGUUGAAGUGUCUCUGAUUGUAGUGUCGCAUUAGUAGCAUCUUGCAGCAGUGCUAGAAGCUUCCGGGAGAGGCCAGAAGCUCUACGAGAGAGCCACAAGCUCACAUGACGCGCCUCCAGGGGACGCGCCACCUGAGCUUGUGGCCCCCUCGUAGGUUUGUUUGACCUAAUUCCAAGCCUAUAAAUUCCCUAAAAUCCAGAAACCUCCAGAGCGAGAAUCGAAACAAUUAUUCGGCCGCCGCAAGCCUCUGUUCUUCCAUGAUUCCAUCUGAAGGCCUCUGUCGGUACUCUGCCGGAGGGGGAAUCAAUCACGGAGGGUUUCUACAUCAACUGUGCUAUCUCUCCGAUGAUGCAUGACAUCGUGAGUAGUUCUCAUUGGACCUAUGGGUCCAUAAGCGUAGCUCUCUCUCUCUCUCCCCCUCUCCACCUCUCCCCCCUCUCCCCUUCUCUUUGAUUUUCAAUACAAUGUUCUCUUCGGAGAUCGAUUCGAUGUAAUCCCUUUGUAGUGCGUUUAUUGAGAUUCGAUGAAUUGCGGUUUUAUGAUUAGAUUACUCACUGAAAGUAAUUGGGUCACUUCUGAACUUUAUUAUGUGUGAUUGUUAUAGUUAUGUAAUGCUUUCUGAUAUGUGGGUUUUCUUUGGCCAAGUUGAUGAAUAGAUCUUCAGUGGAAGUGGUGCAUAGUAGUAGUUUCAAUCUUGCGGUGUUCUCACCUCGUGACCGAAGGGGUAGCGAGGCACGUAUUUGUAUUGUUUCUACUAAGGGUAAAACGACGGGGUUCGAUCAUAUUGAUUGGUCUUACUUUGUCUAUAUUAUGUAAUCAUGCUCCAGUCAUUACUCUGUUUGGUAUGAACCCAAUACCUUAAGAUGCAUGCUGGAAAGCGGUCGAGGGAUGGAGUAAUAGUAGUAGAUGCAGAAUCGUUUCGGUCUACUUGUCAUAGACGUAAUGCCUAUGUACUGAUCUUGCCAUGAAUAAUAUCAUAACUAUGUGUUUUUCUAUCAAUUGCCCAACAAUAUUUGUGUACCCACUGUUGCUAUGUUCAUGAGAGAGAUGCCUCUAGUGAAAGCUAUGGCCCCCGGGUGCUCUGGACAAAAAUAAACAUCAUGAUGCGGUUAUGGAGCUAGCCAUGCGUGCAAAGACAAGCCAAUUCAGAUAAAAGUAAAAACCAGAUGGAAGCCACCAAAUAAGGGUGUCACUUAGAUCAAUGUUGAUACCUUCUAUCUGACCAUUUCUGUUGUGUUGCCUAAUCACAAACAGUUCAUCUAAGUGAACUAUAUGCCUUAUAUCACACACACCUUCAUCAAGUUGAUCGUUUCUAUUGCUAUGCUUAUCGUAAACAGUACAUUGGAUCAACUAUUUGCCACGUAUCGCACACGCAGCUCUAGUCGGAAUCGUGUUUGAUGUCUCCGCCAUCACAAACAAAUUGUAUCAUUUUUUACGGGUUUCUUACACCACAGUUUGCUAUUUAUGCAUCGCACAUAGUUUCGUUGAAGUGUCUCUGAUUGUAGUGUCGCAUUAGUAGCAUCUUGCAGCAGUGCUAGAAGCUUCCGGGAGAGGCCAGAAGCUCUACGAGAGAGCCACAAGCUCACAUGACGCGCCUCCAGGGGACGCACCACCUGAGCUUGUGGCCCCCUCGUAGGUUUGUUUGACCUAAUUCCAAGCCUAUAAAUUCCCUAAAAUCCAGAAACCUCCAGAGCGAGAAUCGAAACAAUUAUUCGGCCGCCGCAAGCCUCUGUUCUUCCAUGAUUCCAUCUGAAGGCCUCCGUCGGUAUUCUGCCGGAGGGGGAAUCAAUCACGGAGGGUUUCUACAUCAACUGUGCUAUCUCUCCGAUGAUGCAUGACAUCGUGAGUAGUUCUCAUUGGACCUAUGGGUCCAUAAGCGUAGCUCUCUCUCUCUCUCUCCCUCUCCACCUCUCCCCCCUCUCCCCUUCUCUUUGAUUUUCAAUACAAUGUUCUCUUCGGAGAUCGAUUCGAUGUAAUCCCUUUGUAGUGCGUUUAUUGAGAUUCGAUGAAUUGCGGUUUUAUGAUUAGAUUACUCAUUGAAAGUAAUUGGGUCACUUCUGAACUUUAUUAUGUGUGAUUGUUAUAGUUAUGUAAUGCUUUCUGAUAUGUGGGUUUUCUUUGGCCAAGUUGAUGAAUAGAUCUUCAGUGGAAGUGGUGCAUAGUAGUAGUUUCAAUCUUGCGGUGUUCUCACCUCGUGACCGAAGGGGUAGCGAGGCACGUAUUUGUAUUGUUGCUACUAAGGGUAAAACGACGGGGUUCGAUCAUAUUGAUUAGUCUUACUUUGUCUAUAUUAUGUAAUCAUGCUCCAGUCAUUACUCUGUUUGGUAUGAACCCAAUACCUUAAGAUGCAUGCUGGAAAGCGGUCGAGGGAUGGAGUAAUAGUAGUAGAUGCAGAAUCGUUUCGGUCUACUUGUCAUAGACGUAAUGCCUAUGUACUGAUCUUGCCAUGAAUAAUAUCAUAACUAUGUGUUUUUCUAUCAAUUGCCCAACAAUAUUUGUGUACCCACUGUUGCUAUGUUCAUGAGAGAGAUGCCUCUAGUGAAAGCUAUGGCCCCCGGGUGCUCUGGACAAAAAUAAAUAUCAUGAUGCGGUUAUGGAGCUAGCCAUGCGUGCAAAGACAAGCCAAUUCAGAUAAAAGUAAAAACCAGAUGGAAGCCACCAAAUAAGGAUGUCACUUAGAUCAAUGUUGAUACCUUCCACGUUGAAGCUACUCAGUUGGGUUCCACUGGCUUGGUCGGCGUGACAUAUCAGACUCAUUACUCCGCGCUCAAGCCCAAUAAUAUGAAUUUGCAACGGGAGCUAUGGAAUGGAAGUCCUUGCCUUACGAGAUGGAGACCAGCACCCGAUCGAUCAAGGAAUCCGCAAGAUGCACAUUAAAAAUGACGGUCAACAAGUUAUUAAGUUUUGAAAAUUGAUAAAUUUUGAUAGAAUAUUAGUAACAUGCAUUUUGCAGGAGAUUCAGGAGCUCAGUUCAAAUUUUCAAACCUUCUAAAUGAGAUACUCUCUUCGUUUUAAAAUAAAUGUCUCAACUUUGUAUUAACUCUAAUACAAAGUUGUAUGCUUAAUACACUUAUUUUAAGACGGAGAAAGUAUAUUAGUCGGCAGGGAUGUGAUUGCAGUGCCGCACACAUGUGCUAAACAAGCAAGUUAAUGUGGAGAAAGGUUUUUUUAAACGAACUGCAUUCCAUCUUUUCUCGCUGAUGUUCUGCAGCAUAUGAUUGUAAUCCUGGCUAAGCAUUAAUAAAGCUAAUUGAUUCGAAUCAGAAGAAAAGAAAAACAAACAAAAACACAGAGUUAGAGCAUCUCCAGCCGCGCCCUCAACAGACCUUCCCCAGGCGUUUUUGCCGUGCCGGCACCGAAAAAACGGCCCAGUCGCGCUCUCAGAAGCCUGUUUUUCGCCGGCUCGGAUCGAAACUGGUGUUGGCGGACCCAGGCCGAACCCGGCUUCCUGGGGCGCCUGGGACGCCGGCACAAGCGAAAAGGGCGCAUGGGUCCGCCCUGUCGGCGAGGCGAGCGUCUCUUCCCGCUGUUUUUUCCCGCGUUUUCCCCACUUCCCUCCCGCUCAUUCCUUCCGUCAAUCUCCCUCCCGCAGGGAUGAUGAAUCCACCCGAAAGCCACGCCCAGUACGCGCCCUGGGGCCAGCAAGGCAUCGUCUCUCCGCAGCCAUGGGGAUCGCCCUCGCCGGGCUACGCCGACGUGGACGCGCACGGUGGGUUCAACCCAAACGUCACCUUCCCCAUGGAUACGCGGCCCAGCGCACGCCCUCUCCCGCCUUCGCCGGCGUGCAGUACCCUCCAUACAACUACUCGCCGCCAGUCUAUGCUUCCUCCCCGACGCCCCCGCUACGCCGUGGCCCGCUGCCCUUCUCGCACCUCGACGACACCGAUGAGACCGAGGCCAACAUGGACGACAUCAUCGCGGCAGGUUCGGCCGCGGCCGCCGCGUCUCCCGGGUUCGUCACCCAGGACGAGGUGGUGGAUCUCAGUGGCGGCAUGGACGGCGAGCUCGGUUACGUCUACGGCGAGGAUGAGCAGCAGGAGCAGGAGGAGGAGGACGAGGAGGAGGAGGAGGAGCCGACGCCUGCGACGACGAAGGGGCGCAAGAAGAAGAAGCGGCGGCCAGAACAGGCGAGCCGCGCAUCAAGUGGGCGUCCAAGGAGGAGGAAUGCCUCGCCGAAGCAUGGAAAGUUGUCUGCCUCGACUCGACGACCGGCGCGAAGCAGAGCAUCGACACGUACUGGGACCGCAUUAAGGCCGAGUUCGACGAGCUCAAACUCGUCGACCCCUACUUCAAAGGCGUCUACAUGCAGCGCGGCUCCAAGGCGAUGGCGAACCAUUGGGGGCGUAUCCAGGGGGCGUGCAACAAAUGGCAUGGGGUCGUCGAGGAGGUCGCGACUCGCCCGGAGAGCGGCGCUAGCGUCGAGGAUCAGGUAUGCCACGCCGGCCUCCCGCCUCUCUUCGCCGUGUACGCGCGCCAACUGUUUGUUCCUCCGCGCAGUUGCGGCGCAUGUUCGCCCUGUACCGGCAGAGCAAUAGCGACGCCGAAUUCAAAUACCUCCCACGUUUACAAGCGCAUUGACAAGUGCGAGAAGUCGGCGGAAGUCCGGCGCACCCUCGACAAGGCCAAGGAGACCUACAAGCCGGACGCGCCGACUCCUGGCGCAUCGGAAGGGCGGCCGGACGACAACAAAGUUGCCAAGAAGGGGAAACACGCCGACGCGGCCACCGCUCGAGUGCAGGAGUCCAUCGAGCACUGCCUCGCCGACGCGCAGACCCGGGCCGUUCUUCGUGAAGAGAAGACCGAGGCGUGCUGGUCGGCGUUGAUAUCGAGCAGCGCCGUCAAGCUCGACCUGCUCCGGACGGACGUCACCGCGAAGAAGAGAAACACCGACCUGGCUUUUCUGCUGGGCGGGGCGGACAUGCUCCAGAGCACCGACGAGGCAGUCAAGGCAUGGUACUUGGCAGAGCGCGACCUCAUUUUGAACCAACUUCCCUCGACAAGGCCGCCCCCGCCGACGCCGACGCCGACGCACACGCCAAGCCCGAGUGAUGACGCCUCCACGCCGCCGCCCAGCAGCACCGAAGCCGCGCCGACACCGCCCAGCACCGAAGCAGCUCCGACACCGCCAAGCCCGCGCACGCCGACUCCGCCGACACCUGAAGCCGACCCCGUCGAGUGAUUCGUUGCGCAGGCGAACUUGCGGCGCUCUGUUUUUUGUACGCUAGAUUACAUCCGAUCGCCGAACUGUGACUUGUGAUCGCCGGAUUUGUGACGUCUUUUAUAAUGAGCGGGAACGACCAAGUUCAAAUUUUCCGCAUUCUAGGACCGGCGCUUGAGGACGUGACUGAGAGCUAGGUUGCCCCCACGAGCCGAGCUAGCGUCGGUUCGCCUCCAGGACGCUCUUUUUAGGUGCCUGGGGGCCGAACGGCUGGAGAUGCUCUUAGCUCCCUGUACAAGUCUCGCGUCGGGUCAUCGUUGCUUCCAGCGACACAAGAGACGGGUAGGGUUCCUUGCGGCCGAAGCGGCCACGCACGCACCACACCACAACUUAGACAGUCCACCCGCCGCCUCGCGGCUCCAAAACCCUCGCCUCACCCCCGCCCCCCUAGGGUUCGCCUCGCCUCGCAGCGCCGCGCCGCCGCAGCCAUGGGCUCAUCGCUCCCGGCCAAGGAGGCCAACCUCUUCAAAGUCAUCGUCGUAAGCACCCCGCCCCUCGCUUCUCCCCUCGGUACUCGAAUCGAUCUGUUCGGCCUCUGAAUCCGCUGCUCCGUAGCCGCGCUCCGCUCGAUUCGACAGUCUGGAUGCAGCCAAGCGAUUGGAGAUGCUCUAGGGGAGUGGCCGUGCGCAGGGGUUUCGUUGCCUAGGUGAUUGCUCGGGUCGUUGGGUUGGUGUCUGGCCGAGGUGAAGCUUUGAUUUGCGAGGGUUAGAUCAGUAGGUGUCUCAGAGAAGCUUUUGCUUGGGAGACGGUCGUUUCGCCAGUAGAGUGGCUAGUUUGCUUCACAGUUGGGGUCGACAUGUACUUUAUCCCGCAAGGCUGACUUUGUGAAGUUGCUGGUGCUAAAAGCCAAAUAUAUCAUGUAUUCUGGACCUUAUUGGUAUCUGUUGUUCAAUCACAGCAAUGAAUUCAGUGUCAUGUUAUAUCUAAUCUGACAUCAACUCCUUCUUGUAGUUUCAUGUUAAUAAAUUUUAUCUUGUCAUGUGAACUUGCAUCUUAACAUUGUCCAGUAGCAUUCGGUGAUAGCUGAAAGGCCAAUACUGGUCGCCGGUUGGAGUGUUACUAUAUUGGCCUGUUGAACCUUUUAUCCUAGCUAUGCAGGAGGGAUACAACAUUGAACAUUUUAUAGUACCUGGGGUUUCUUGUUUAGUGUUUUGAUCAUUUGAGUGUAUUUCUGAUAACACUUUUAUAGAACAGUUAAAAGUUACAAUAAUUUGCACUGUAGACAUGCAGACAGUUCAACUUUUGAGUCUUGCAUGAUUCUGCUUCAUACCGGGAUUGCAUGUAUAUCUACUGUGGCAUAAUGUUAUGUUCCCCUCUUAACAUUCCGUACUCCCAAGUUUCUGAUGUUUUAUGGUUGCAUGCACAGAAAUCAUAUGAAACUAAGCAGUAUAAGAAAGGGCUGAAGGCCGCAGAUUCCAUAUUAAAGAAGUUUCCCGAACAUGGAGGUCAGAAAGAUAGCAUUUGAUUUUGUUCAACCUUUUGUGUUACUCUCUUGCUCCAUGCAGCCUCCUCUGAUCGCAUACUACUUUGUCUCGUUUCUUGUAGAAACUUUAUCGAUGAAAGGUUUGACACUAAAUUGUAUGGAUCGGAAAUCUGAAGCAUACGAGCUUGUUCGCCGUGGCUUGAAGGUUCUUAAUCACAACAGAUUUAGUCCAAAUUUUGUUUUGUGACGAUUAAGUUGAUUAUAAAAAUGUAACUGAUAUGUAUCGAUCGAAUUAAACAUUUGCAGAAUGAUCUGAAGAGUCAUGUGUGCUGGCAUGUGUAUGGUUUACUUUACAGAUCAGAUAGAGAAUACAGAGAAGCUAUAAAAUGUUACAGAAAUGCUUUGAGGAUCGACCCAGACAAUAUUGAAAUUUUGCGUGAUUUGUCACUUCUCCAGGUUGGUACGACAAUCCAUUGCUUUCCCCCCUAUUUUCUGGGUAAACCAAUUCACACCUAACAUAUAGCUGCAUUCAACUUAACUCCCCCCGCCCCCGCGGUCAUGUAAUGCUUCAUCUAUUGUUCAUCAUUGGUGAAUUGGCCAAUAAGCAUGUGCACAUAUUUGGAUUCCAAACAUUUGAUUUUGUCGAGCUCUUAGUACUGGAUAAGUGAAACCAACUUUUGUGUUGGACAUUUUUUUUGUUACCAGUAUUGGUAACAUUACAUGGCACUCCUAGCAUUACAUGAAACUUGUUUUUCAGUGAUAUGACGUGAUAGAAAUAAAGGUUUUCUGCCUUCCAGCGAAUGAAUCUUAUUUUUUCUUUUUCACAGGCGCAAAUGAGGGACUUGUCUGGCUUUGUUGAGACUAGACAACAGCUUCUGACAUUAAAGCCGAACCACCGCAUGAACUGGAUUGGCUUUGCCGUAUCUCAUCAUUUGAGUUCCAAGUAUGCCACUUUCUUGGUUAUGUUGAGUUGAUCUAGAUCAAUCAAUUAAACCGUAUGACCAGUUGAGCAAAUAGGGCCUGGGACUCCAGCUCAAUUCAUAUGUUAAACAUAGAAUGAUAAAAUUCCAGUACCAGACGUUACUAUUUGAACCUCUUUUGAAUUCAAGUAAGAUCUUGUGUGAUCUGCCACAUGUCAGCAUUAAGUAUGGACCAACUUUGGAUGCCUAUAAUGCAUCGUCUAUUGAAUUGCUGCCAAAACAGCAUAGCAUAAUGAAUGCACAUAAUGCCACAUGUGUACUUUUUUGGCAGAUCAAUAGUAGUAUAUUUUUAUCUUACCUUCUUGCUAUAUCAGUUGUGAGGAUUUUCUCGCAUCAUUAUUCACAAGCUGCGUACUAUUGCAUGUAUGGCAGGCUGUAACCUUUGUGAUACGAAAAUUCACCACUAAUAUCGUUGUUUCUGGUACCCACCUGCAGCUCUUCAAAGGCAAUAGAAGUACUGGAGGCAUAUGAGGGGACACUGGAAGAUGAUUAUCCCCCAGAAAAUGAGCGGUAUGAGCAUGGUGAAAUGCUUUUGUAUAAGGUAUACGUCUCUCCCUUUCCUGAGCCAGCAUUGCAGUACCAGUAAUAAUGUAUUGGUUUACUUUAAGCGUACAGUGAACUCUUAUCAUAAUUCCCGACAGAUCAGUUAUCAAUAGCAUCCUAUGUGUUUGUCAUAUCAUGGUUUGGUUAUUGUUAAACCUGUAUGUAAUUGCUGACAUAGUGCUCUCAAAAGAAAUCUUUGGGAAUGGUUUAUAAGCAUUCUGUAAUACUGAUGCUACAGUACUACUUGCUGCCCAUCUCUUUGAACCCGGCUGUUUUUUUUGCUUUGUUAAUUUUGUCCCAUCUGGAUUUUCUUUACAUGUCGAGUUACCAUACUUAUUAGUAUUUUUGGUGUAACGUUCUUUCUGUGUGCAUUAUAUUAGUUCUAUUACUUUACCCCCACUUUCUCGUGCUAGAUAAAGUUUGUUGUCUAAAUCAGUCAAUUCAUAUCUAGUACCUUUUCUUACUUCAUCAAACAAAGAAUAUACAAUAGAUUUAAGUUGAACAUAUGGAGGUGAUAUGUAUAGUCUAAAAACAAUCCUUCAUAACUAUAACAUCAGUAAUCUUUACAGAAAUAGUGAAAGUAGAAUAACUGGUCAAAGUUGUGCUGUGGGCUCCAUGCCAAUUUCUCAAAUGUCACUUGUGACUGGAGGAAGGACAUGGUUUCAGUGUGCUAUAUAAUUAUCUGUCUUCAACCUUUCCCUGCUCCACCCUUAAUUUCAAAGCUUUCUUCAUGCUCUAACUCAAGAAAUAGCUUACAUUAUUUGACUAUUCAUUGCUAUUAUUGUUGCACAGAUAUCGUUGCUUGAGGAAUGUGGGAUGCUGGACAGAGCCCUUCAGGAGAUGCACAAGAUGGAGAGUAAAAUUGUAAGUUGUAUCUUUCUAUGUUUGAAGGAAAAAAAGUAGAACUGUCUGUAACAUGUUCGCUUCUUGAAUUUUGUCUGCUAGGUUGAUAAGCUCUCAUUCAGAGAACAAAUGGCCUGCAUUUUGUUGAAACUUGGCCGUUUUGAGGAGGCAGAGAAAAUAUAUAGGUCCCUCCUUUUUAUGAAUCCUGAUAACUACAAGUAAGUUGCUUGUACUCAUUCUCUCACGUGUCUUUGUUGGUAGUUUAUGUCUAUGUACUUAUGCUGCCAUUUUGUUUACAUGUUAUGUUUAUUUUCGUCAACUUACAUAGGUACCUGUAUUUUAGGUGCUGUUGUCAUUCAUAGGAUACCUUUAUUUAGGACCUAUUAUUUUUUAACCAGCUUAAAUUUUAUCACUAGACAUGCGUUUAGAAAGCUUUGGUGAAUUGCCAUCUUACCGUAUUAUUUUCAUGUAUGUGACCUAGAUAGCAUUUUAUUGUAACCAGAUGCAAAUUUAAUCUUAGCCGAUUGAGCAAUUCGACCAACUACAGUACUUGUAUUCUGAUGUUGGUUACAAUUGAUCGUCUUCCUCCACAUACACAAUGUCUGUGUGGCAAAACUUUGCAUACAGUUGAUUAACCUCUCUUCCGCAACUGGCUCACACCUAAACCCUAACCCUUCUAGGCUUAAAUGUUGGUAUUUUUGAUUCGGCAGGUGAUAUUAAUCUCCCUCGUAACAUAAUGCAAUAAGAGCCACACGUUCGUGAUAAAAGGGAAACUAUCACAAAAUUUGACCUAUAAGUCUAAUGCCAGCUGGGUUCUGUAACUAUUUUCUAUGUUAGCAACUUAGAAUAAAAUACUAUACCUCACUGCAUUGUGUAUACAGUCCUGGCUGGUAUGGUCAACCUACUUCUGAUACUCUAGAAUUGGUCGUUGCCCUGUUCUAUUCAGGUACCUCAUAGCUGUGCAGAAGUGCCUUGGCCUAUACUCUGAAAAUGGUCAUUAUUCCGCUGAUGAUGUUGAACGAUUAAGUGCAUUAUAUAAAUCACUCAAGGAAGAAUAUAGUUGGUCAUCGGCUGUUAAGGUAAACCAUCUAAAAUUGUAAUCUCAUUUGCAUUGAUACCAGUUUUGUUGGUUCUUCCUUAUAUCCAUGGUUGAGACCUUUGUGGACACUGCAAAAUUUACCCUUGAUGCAGGCAUACAUCAUUUUGUUUUGCAUUUUCAUGAUAAUAUUUUGUUUUACAUGCGAAGUUAAAUGUUAUUUUCUCAUCCGUAUUGACUGUAAGUAGGCCAUAUAACCACCAACUUAUUAAUCUAAGUUUUUCUCAUACCCUCCGUGCAACAGCGCAUACCUCUUGAUUUCCUAGAAGGUGAGAAAUUCCAGGAGGCAGCAGAUAAUUAUGUCAGACCACUAUUAACCAAGGUAAUCAUAUAAUUUUAAAGUGAUGGUUUGUUAGUACCUCGAAGGUGUCUCGUGGUCUCUGGCUGUGUGUGUAACAUGUUGCCUUAAGAUUUUUAUUGGGUUUACUGGGAGCAUGCUGUUACUCAUUGUUAUUGCUGAUUGUAAUGUGUCCCAUAUCUUUUAGGGAGUGCCGUCACUUUUCUCUGAUUUAAGCCCGCUUUAUGAGCAUCCUGGCAAGGUAACACAAGCUAUACUAGUCAACAGCAUUUUCUUUUUCUUAUUUCUUGUUUGUGCUACAAACCAUUUACAGAAAAUUGUUAAUCUCAUUAAUAGGCAAACAUAUUGGAGCAAUUAUUUCUUAAGCUAGAAGAUUCAAUUAGGACUUCUGGAUGCUUUCCUGGAAGGUAAUCUUUUUUGCCUGGUCAUUAUUCUCAGUUUUAUCAUUCUUCCCAUAUCCUCAUUAGUGUUAUUGAUCACAGCUCAUCUUAAACUGUAAAAUUAUUGCUUGGCACCUUUAUCGGGCAAAACUUGAUAUCAGGUUAUGAAUUUUUUGUUACCAAACUGAGACCGUUUUCGAUUUUUAGUCAACUUAGCGAACAUGUAUGUAGUAGCACAACAAUAUGGUUAUAUGCUUCUACUGCAAUAUUAGGUUAAUUAACUUAGCUGCUCGUCACUUAGUUGGCAUCUUUAAAGAUGCAAAAAGCCGAAAAAUAAUGUGCUAGAAUCUGCCUGGAAGGGGUAUCUAGAGGAAUUUCUCUGCAAGGCAUCUUAUCAACCAUUCUUACACAAGGAACAAUGAUGCACGUGAAACUUGGUAUGGUUGAUGUAUGCCAAAUUGUGCAGAAUUUUGAUGCUGCCAGAACUCCUAUACCGUUCUCGGCUAUAAUGCAGCAAAUUGUAACUUGAAAGUGUUCUAUCAUUCUUUUCAAGCAUGUGGCUUCUUAAAAAACCCGCUACCUAUCAUACUCCUUGGAAGUAGUCAUGUGUUAGCACUAGCCAUUGCUAGUUUGAGCUGUCCCUGAACCUGUAGUUUUGACUUAAUCUGUAAAUUGUCACGUAUUUCUUUAACGGUUUCUCCCUGCAGUUCGCAGAUGGAACCUCCAUCCACACACAUGUGGACUCUGCUGUUGGUUUCUCAGGUUAGCAUUUGGUGUGAACACCUGCAUAUUACCUGAUAAACCACCGAGUUAUUUUCAAAUAUAUCUUUUGAAGUUGCAUCAUUAUGUUUGUCACAUGUCAUGAUGCAGCACUAUGACAGAAGGAGCCAGUAUGAUAUUGCUCUGGAUAAAAUUGACGAGGCCAUUUUACACACGCCAACUGUCAUUGAUUUGUACUCCAUAAAGGUAAAUUCUCUCCCCAUGCGCAAUUGUGUUUUCCUUAGUAUGCAAUUAAGCAGCAUCACCAUUUCUCCAAUAUAGGAUUUCCUGUAAAUUUCAGUUCUUUUGAACUGAAAUUUCAUUCUUACUUAAAUGGUUUCGUUUGGUGCCAAUUGCUAGUUUAAUACAACCUCUGUAACUUAAUGUAAGACAUUUUUGCAGUUUAAGUUAAACUGCAAAAACGUAGUUUAAGUUAAACUGCGAAAACGUCUUAUCCUAAUUUUUGACAUUUCUGUAAUCUUGCACUGCUGGUUUGGUCUUUCUUUGGAUCCCCCUCCUCCUCUUUAAUAAUGAAAUACCCAACAUAUUUCUGCUGCAUUCUCCUAAAAAAGGAGUUGUUUACCCUUGCUAACCAUUUCUUGUCUUACCUUUCCAAUCUGCAAAAUUUCUUUCUCCAAUCUACUGGUCUUACACUCGUACUUUUUUGCUCUUCUCGCCCCCUCUAAAUAAUAUUCCCAGAAUAUAAGGUGCACAUGCUUUUCGAGAUAAAACUUUGACCAUCAAUUAUACCAAUAAUACGUAAAUCAUGUUACUGAAGAAUUAUACCAUUGAAAACUUCUUUCGGAUACAAAUUCAAUGGUGUAUUUUUUAUGACAUAAAACCCACAUUUCAUUGGUUAAAUCUAUGGUCAAACUUAAAUCUUGAAAAGCAUGUGCACCUUCUAUAUUAUGGAACGGAGGGAGUAGUAACUUCUCUUACUUUGUUCACCGUACAUUGUGUUUAGAUGGCAUAAUUCUCUGUAAAUAAAUCUGCUAGUGCACCUGCUUUAUUUCAGGGGAAUAUUUUGCAACAUGCUGGCAAUUUUUCUGCAGCAGCAGCAUUAGCGGAUGAAGCUAGGUCCAUGGACCUUGCUGAUCGUUAUUUAAACAGCGAGUGUGUAAUGCAGAUGCUUCAAGCUGAUCAGGUAUAUUCAGUUAGAAACACAACUACUUUUUUGCACGGUUCCGCUGAUGUAAUAGUAAAACAGACACCGGCGAACCUUUUGUCAGCAAACACUACACAUUUAACUGCUUAUUUUGUGACUUGUGAAGGUCGGGCUAGCUGAGAAGACUGCUGUCUUGUUUACAAAAGAUGGAGAUCAGCACAAUAAUCUCCAUGACAUGCAGUGCAUGUGGUACAUGCUUCCCUCCCUCCACCAUUAAGUGUCUAUUUUUUUCUUCACUCUCUAAGUCGAUGAUCUCUUUAAGGUAUGAACUUGCUUUUGGCGAGAGUUAUUUUCGUCAAGGUGAUCUUGGCCGGGCUCUGAAAAAUUUCUUAGCUGUUGAAAAGCAUUACACUGAUAUGACUGAAGAUCAGUUUGACUUCCAUUCAUAUUGCUUGCGGAAGAUGACACUUCGGGCGUACGUUUCUAUGCUGAAGUUUCAAGACCGUUUGCAUGCUCAUGAAUACUUUCACAAGGCUGCUGCAGGGGCUAUCAGGUAAUGGUUCCUAUUGGUCUGUCUAUCAAUUAUUUUGUACUUCCCUUCAGAGAUUUUUCUAAAGCUAUUGUUAAAAAUUGUAGGUGUUACAUGAAAUUACAUGAUUCUCCAUUAAAAUCAUCUGCUGAGGAGAAUGAUGAGUUGUCAAAACUGCCAGCUGCCCAGAGGAAGAAGUUGAGGCAAAAACAGAAGAAGGCAGAAGCUCGAGCUAAAAGGGUAACCUCCAGAACUUUGUUUUAGAUGUAUCACUGCUAAGUCUGUCUUAAUUUGCCCUUAAAUCUCCCCAGGAGGCUGAAGAGAAACAAGAGGAUGAAACAACUUCAACCAACAGUUCGAAAUCUGGGAAGAAACAACAAGCAAGGCCAGUUGAUUUGGACCCACACGGUGAAAAAUUGGUCCAGGUAUUCUUUUUCUAUGUGAUCAGUUGUACUCGUAGUAUUGUACUUUUAGAAACAUUAGUUUUUAUCUUUUUAGGUCAUUGAAUGAUUUCGUCUUCAUUUUAUGCAUUUCUGUUUCCAGGUUGAAGAUCCACUUGCAGAAGCCACAAAAUAUUUGAAGCUUCUGCAGAAUAACUCGUCAGAUUCAUUAGAAACUCAUAUACUUUCAUUUGAACUGAACAUGAGAAAGCAAAAGGUUUUACUCGCUUUUCAGGUAUGGUAUUAUGCACCUCAUUUUGGGGGAUAUCCCAGUCUUCUGUUUUUUUCCUUUUCUUUUGCUGGAAAUAAAUUCUACCCCAUUAAGAAUUUAAGAUAUGGUAUCGCUUGAUUAUAAUUGAGAGAGCAUCUGUUGCUUUCCUUAUAUUGUUGAUAGACUGAUGCUCAUCUUUCCUACAUCAUGUUUCUUUAUGAUGCCAUUGGAUUACCUGCCGUUAUUGCUUAGUUGGUGUAUGUGGGGUUGUGGAAGAUGAAAACCGAGUGAUCUGCACAUUAAAAAUAGCACUGCGUAGUGCUUUGUUUGAAGUGGAAAUUGUUUCAUUCGUUGAAGAUGUUCCUAAAUAUACCGCCUUUAAGCAUUAGGUUUUGCAGCAAUAUAUUAGUUAUUUCUUAAUAUUUCAGAACUUUUAUGACAGAUGUACUAAUAUUACUUCUAUCAGAGCAAUUGUGGUAUACAAAGCUUACCUGCAAACAUUUUUUUUACGGGAAAGUUUACCUGCUAACAUAAUUAUCUACUCCCUCCGUAACUUAAUAUAAGAUGUUUUUUGACACUAUUGACACUAUUGAUAGUGUCAAAAAUGGUCUUAUAUCAAGUUACGGAGGGAGUACUUAGGAACAGAUGCAGUAGUGUUUAAAAGUUGAACUAGAUACACUAUCUUAAUCUGUUAUAUAGGCUUCUUAGUUUUCUUUAUCUAUCUCUUGUCACAGGCGGUCAAGCAGCUCAUUAAAUUGGACGAAAAUAAUCCAGACAGUCACCGAAGUUUGGUAAGCAUCCAAAAUUGCACCUUUGAUUUUUCUAUCAAAAUUCGGAAUGCCAUAAAAUUAUUUUUCAUUUUUAUUUAUGAGUGCGUCAAGAUCAUUUUAUCUAGAGGUCUGGUUUGGCUGUGCAUAUUUAUCUAUAUUCCGUUAGCCUGAGAUUGGCACUAUAAAUCUGGAUAUUUGUUUGGAAGCAACACAGUUUGUUUACCUUUGUUGGGUUUAUUCUUUUAUUUGUGUUGCUAUAAGGAGUCAGACCAUAAACGCUGGGUGCACUUUGUAUUUAGCAGUGCCUUUUGAACUGAGUUUUUCUCUUGGUUUGGAUGGAAGAAGUUGGUGAGCCGAACCCUGUACAACGUUUUACUGGUGUAUACUCUGCAGAUGAUGUGCUGAGUAACUGCCCUGUAAGGAAUGACCAUUAUAUUACAGGAAUAAUUGCUUUUGUAACGCUAAAAUUCUUCUGGAGGAUAUAACUUGUUCAAUUCAAUGAAAUCUACAAAGUAUGUUUGUUGACCAAUUGCAUAAACCACAAAUGGAAUCCUCUUUUAGGAAAUGGAUGACUAGGAGUUUAUUGCCACUAUAUAUGACCUAGUGCUUACCUUUUAGCUUCUAAUCUGUUUAGGUUAUUGUUUGUUGUCGAGAAUUUAGUAUUGCUUUGUUAGCAUUACUAUUACUAUGCUUGGAGUGUAUUUAGCAUGUGUUAAUAUGGAAUGUGUACAUAUUGUUCAUAUUUCAUUUAUUUUUUUAUCAUGAGCUGACUGUUAGCAAUAAAUAUAUUCAACUUUGUUCUUUAUUUUAUUUGCAGAUAAGAUUCUUCCAUAGGAUAAACAAUCUUCCGGCCCCAGGAACUGAUUCUGAGAAAUUAAUAUGGAACGUUCUGGAAGCUGAAAGACCAGAUCUAAGGUUCUGAGAUGGUGAUUAAUUUUAUCAGUAUGCAUUUACUCCAGUUUAUCUGACCAGCGAGUUCUUGCAGGCAAUUACACGGGAAAUCUCUUGUUGAAGUAAAUAUAAACUUCCUUGAAAAGCACAACGGUAAUUAUCUUCAUUUUUCGGUUUAUGGACCUUUUCUUGACCACGAAUUUUACUAACUCAAAUCGUUCUUUGCUAGCUUCUUUGACACACAGAGCAGCUGCAGCUGAAAUGAUGUACCUCUUGGAGCCGGAUAAGAAGCUGCAGGUGAUUAAAUUAAUUGAAGACUCAACAAAUAACACAGCAUCAGGGUAAAGAUAUGGAAGAAGAAUAUGCCUCUGAUUUUAUUCACUUGCUGUGUACAUAGUAUUUAUAUCAUCUGAACUUUCUGCAGAAAUGGUGUGCUUGGUCCCAUUAAGGAAUGGGGCAUUCAAGAUUGUAUUGAUGUUCAUAAAUUGCUGGAUACUGUUUUUGCUGAUCAGGAUGUUGCAAACAGUAAGUUCCAAUAUGGCAAUGCCCAAAUUGUUUAUUUUCACCUUACAUUUAUGUUUUUGAGGGCAAUGGACAAGUCUUCUCUUUCUGCUGCUAUAAUAUGUUGGUUGCUAAAAUGAAUACAUAUAUUUGAGAAAAACCGAUUACUUGCAAUACUGAACUGCGCUGGAUGCUGGCCUGGUAUGGUUUGCCUGUAUACCGGGCCAAUAGAUUCUUAUUUUUAGUUAUAUAUUGUCAGGAUUAACCUCGGUAUCUCUGCAGGGUGGAAGGUACGCUGUGCUGAAUAUUUUCCUUGCUCAACCUACUUCGAAGGCGCGAAAAGUGCUAUUACUGCACAUAUUCCCGGCAGUACUUCCGAGAGUUCACCAGAAAAUGGAGAUGUACCAAGCCCACAAGCAAAACUUGAGGGAGACAGACACAGUUUGAAUGGGACCGUGCAUGUUGUGGAUGAUCUGAGCAACCUUAGCAUGAGGUAAAUGCGCCAACUAGUUGCUGCCUGGUUACAGCUGGAACAGAAAUAUAUUUGGAACUGGAGCCAGUGCCCAACUAACCAAAGUGCACGGCAAGAUAUCCAAGUGGGAAUGUGUUUUGUGCGCAGUGAUUAACUUGAUGCAUUCAUUUGAAGAGUAUAUUAUUGAUUGGGAGUUGAGAUCUCUUCAAUCUCCGGUGAUUAUCUCUGUUCCAGCUUUUGUACCUUUUCGUUGUCAUCUUACAUAUGGUGGAAGGCCAAAACCUUUCAUCCCAGUUACAAUGGGGCUUCGCCAGGGUUUGUUGCUUGGCAGCAACAGGAUGUUACGAUUCUUUUGUCGAAGCCGAUCUUGAAUUUGUUGCCUGGUGGUUCUUUUUGUCGCAGAUAGCUACCUGCACGCUUGUUGGACUACAACAAUUUUUGGCAUAAAACAGUUGUUAAUCUCAAACUUUUGUGAACCAUGAUGUGUUGUUUGCAGUAGUUGGAUGUACUGGGGGUUGCUCUACUUUUGCAACUUUUGGUCCCCAUGGUUGUAAAUUAGCCAAGUUAAUCCUGGACAUUGAUAUUGUAUUUCGGUCUGUCCAGACAAAUAAUCGUCAAUGUUAACUGAGUUCUUUUCUUCCACAUGCGUAAUACACAUUUGGUGAAAUUU